rnacentral:lncRNA from 1 species
UCCGAAUAAUUAAGCUACAAUGAACCUCUGCUAAUUUGCCAUGUCACCUCGGUUACUAUUGAUAAUCUCGCGUUAGUUCAAAACGAUUCAAAUUCAAAUUUGAAAUAAAGGCUGACAACAAAGGUUUUCAACUUUUAAAACUAAAAUGUCCGGGUUGUGCCAAAUAUUGCAUAAAUAAUUUUGGUGGAGAAUCCACAUUUUUAUAAAGUAUUUAAUUGCACUGAAAUAAAUAAAACAGUAAAAACAAAUAAUUAAAUGCCUUUUUUCAAUUAAUAAAAUAUUAAGCUAAUUUAUUACAUUGCCCGAAACUAUUGGAGUAGUGGAAUAUUUAUUAAAACUAAAAUAGGAACUAGUUUGGUAUUUCAUUUAAACUAUAAUAAGGUGAAACUAAGUGAAAACAGUAAAAGAAAAUAGAAAGAAAUAAAAAUAAAAUAAAACAUAAAAAAGCAAGCAAAACCCCCUGGGCCAUUUGGCCCAAAUGGCCCAAGUUGCCAGGCCGGCCCACCUAACCCCCCUUGUUCCUCUUCCCCUUUUCACCUCGUGCGCUGGCCGCAGUGCGCCCGCACACGCCGCCGAUGAACACCCUCAAGUCGCCGGCCACCCCUUCCUGGCACUAACCCUAACCGUAACGCCCUCAGAUCCCCCCUCUCCACCCUGCUCACUCUCCUCUCGCUCCCUCUCUGCUUUCCCCUCGCCCGAGCGCCACCAUGGCACCGCCGCCAUAAUGCACGCGGACCCCGCCACCGCCUCGCAUCGCCUCCGCGCCAAGAAGGAUGGCCUCAACCUCCUCUUCCCCCCCGAUGAAUCACCCGAGUAGGAGCGCCUCUGCAUCGUCCCCUAUGUCGCUGUCUUCAACCACGGCCACCGCACGCCAUCGCUGAAUCCGCCACACCGAGCCCUCCCCUAGCCCACUUGAGCACACCUACAGGACCAACAUGAGGACGCGCCUCUUUCCCUACUCUUCCCCGCGCGUUUCCACCGUCGUAGCUCCUCCUCCCCGUCGUGCCCGAACGCGGCUCCGCCCGAGGUCGUCGUCGGUGAUGCUCUGGAGACCAAAUGGCCUCAGCCCCAUGCGCAACUUGCUCUCCACUUCGCCUAGAUCCCAACGUGCACACACACAUGACUCGCCGUGCCCCGCAGCCCCCUGUUCGCCGCUCACCGGAAACCCACCACCAUUUGACUCGCCGUUGGCGACGUUCCCGGCAGUCCCCGACCACGCCACCAGCUCCAUUUGAUGCGGUGUGGACUGUCCGUUCAAACGAACCAAACCACAGCCCCAGAGAUACCCUAUGGGCGAAACCCGAAGCUCACCUGCGCCUCGAUGUUGGUGUCAAAACCGGCAUAUCUCAGGUAGGGGGUCCCGAACUGUGCAUCUAAGGAUUGAUGGUAACAGGAGACAAGGGACACGAUGUUUUACCCAGGUUCGGGCCCUCUCGAUAGAGGUAAUAUCCUACGUCCUGCUUGAUUGAAUUUGAUGAGUAUAGGGGUUACAAGAGUUGAUCUACCACGAGAUCGUAAUGGCUAAACCCUAAUUGUCUAGCAUGUAUGAUUAUGAUUGCCUCUACAGACUAAACCCUCCGGUUUAUAUAGACACCGGAGGGUCUAGGGUUGUACAGAGUCGGUUUAUAGAGAAAGGAAUAUUCAUAUCCACAUGCUAAGCUUGCCUUCCACGCCAAGGAGAGUCCCAUCCGGACACGGGAGGAAGUCUUCUGUCUUGUAUCUUCACGGCCCAUUAGUCUAGCCCAUGUCAUAUAGUCUGGACGCCCGAGGACCCCUUAAUCCAGGACUCCCUCAGUAGCCCUUGAACCAGACUUCAAUGACGAGGCGUCCGACGCGCAGAUUGUCUUCGGCAUUGCAAGGCGGGUUCCUCCUCCGAAUACUUCAAAGUAGUUCUUGAACAUAGAACGUGUCCGACUCUGCGAAACAGACUCCACAUACAACCACAACAUGAUAUAACAUUUAAUAAGUCCCAUCUACUGACGGCUUUCGAGGCGAGACGUGACGUCCCCUGGCUGGUUAUUAUUUUGAACCGUAUUUCAAUCUCCCGUUCAAUGUUACGAGACACGGUUUUUAUUGGCACAUCUUGUCAAAGCAGAUAUCAUGCUCUUUUAUCAUGAGAUCCCUAUCAAUAUGGGCGUGGGUAAUCCAACCGUGUCGUUUGCACGAUCCCUUGGGAAUAGGCGAGAUUUAAGGCCUGUGGGGAGGCGUUCGAUAUUCAUCGCCUUUAUAAAGGGUUACAAACCUAGCUUUCUCCCCCACGCCUACCUCUUCCUCAGCCUUUCCAGCCCCGAGCUCCAGCGCCCAGGUCUUGAUUUCUUUCAUUGCUACCAAGCCUUUCUAGUCAUGUCCGAAUCUAGAUCCCCAGGCAGGUGGAUGGUCUCCUCGGUCACCGAGGAAGAUAUCGCGAAGCUCCGGGAGGCGAGGUACCUAACUGCGGAAAUCCCCCACAGGCUUCCUGUAAAGGAGCAGGUUAUCCCCACACCAAGGCCUGGUGAGAGAGUUGUGUUCAUCUCCCACUUCCUCCGUGGGCUAGGGUUCACUCUCCACCCCUUUGUUCGCGGCCUUCCAUUCUAUUACGGCCUAGAUUUUCACGACCUAGAUCUGGAAUCCUUUCUCCACAUCUCGGCAUUCAUCAUUAUGUGUGAAGCCUUUCUCCGUAGCCCCCCGCACUUUGGCCUAUGGCUCAAGACCUUCAGUGUGAAGCCGAAGAUAAUCAACGGGGAGCAAGCGGAGUGCGGCGGCGCUAUGGUGAGCAAGCUUGCCAAUACUGUCUGGCCAAAGGGCACCUUCUCGGAAACCUCCGACUUAUGGCAGCGGGAGUGGUUUUACAUCACCAAACCUCACGGUACCAAAUGGGCAGCCACGCCUACAUUCCGAUCUGGUCCUCCAUUGCAACUCGCAUUUUGGAUUAAUAAGGGGCUUGACUUGGGAUCAAUAUAUGAAGUGAAGACGAUACAAAGUCAUAUCCAGCGCAUCCUUGAAAAGGACACUAGCCUUAUUAAGGUGAUCCAGGUGAUGCUAGUCCGCCGGGUCCUCCUGUGUCAGCGACGACCUCUCCGCAUGUGGGAGUUCAGCCCAGAAGGACCGCGGACCCUUCAGGAAUUUUUCAACACGACGCACAGAGGGAUGUGGAAAUUAUUCUUCAAGGAUCGAAAGCAGUGGCCGGACACAUCCGAGGACAUCGGCCUUGACUGCAAUCAUCCGGAUACCCCGGUAAGUAGUAAGUACCCAACUCCCGAACGCAAUUCGGUUAAUUAUCCCAAUGUACUGAGAAACCUAUCUUCAACCAGGGCUGGAUAAAGAAGGCAGAGUGGACCAGGUGUCCGACUCCACUUCCCGAAGACUCAGCAGAUCCUGUGUUAAUGCAGAUGUUGGCCCCGGCGCCGUAUCAAAUGCCGGUGAGGGAGGAAAAGAAGAAGAGCAAGAGGGAUGAAGAUGGCCUCCGCUCUAAGGGUAUACUAGACACUAUAUCCAGGGAGGCUAAAGCUCCUUCUUUUGAAGACAAAGGGGAAGAGGAAGAAAGGGAUCUCUCUCCCCCCCACAGGAAGAAAAGGACUGCCCCCGAAGGCUUGGAGGUGGAGGCACCCAAGAGAGGGAAGAUAUCUCUAUCAGAUGGUUCGGGUUCGGAGGGCGAUGUUGCCACAGAGCUCCUUUUUACGGACAAGCCCUUUGCUGAAUCGUAAGUGAACAAGGAUGCUCUAGACAUAUCACGUUCUUUUUUUGGUUUUGCAAGGGUAACAUUUAAACCAUAUGUUCGCAAGCCGGCCCGUUAUCUACCCCCAUAGUCCCCCUCAUCGGGGGAUUUACUUCCGGAGAUGAUGGAAAGUGAGACGUCUCCACAAGCUUCAUCGCCCCUAAGGGCGGACAACUUCAAGGUGUCGUCCUGGAGGAUCUCCCCUAACCAUCCGGCGGCGCGGGGGCAGAGGAAACAGUGCCCGAAGGUGGUAUCUCGACCGUUAGGGGUCCAGAGGAGGCGGCCCCCGCGGGGACUGAUACGUCUCCAACGUAUCUAUAAUUUUUGAUUGCUCCAUGCUAUUAUAUUACCAACCUUGGAUGUUUUAUAUGCAUUAAUAUGCUAUUUUAUAUGAUUUUUGGGACUAACCUAUUAACCUAGAGCCCAGUGCCAGUUUCUGUUUUUUUCCUUGUUUUAGAGUAUCGCAGAAAAGGAAAAUCAAACGGAGUCCAAUUGACCUAAAACUUCACGGAACUUAUUUUUGGACCAGAAGAAGCCCACGGAGUAUCGGAGAUGGACCAUGAGAGUCACGAGCUACCCACGAGGGUGGGGGGCGCGCCCCCUACCUCGUGGACAUCCCGGAGAUCCACCGACGUACUUCUUCCUCCCAUAUAUACCCAUAUACCCUAAAAACUUCGGAGAGCAGAAUAGAUCAGGAGUUCCACCGCCAGAAGCAUCCAUAGCCACCGAAAACCAAUCUAGACAAGUUUCGGCACCUUGUCGGAGGGGGAAUCCCUCUCCGGUGGCCAUCUUCAUCAUCCCGGCGCUCUCCAUGACGAGGAGGGAGUAGUUCUCCCUCGGGGCUAAGGGUAUGUACCAAUAGCUAUGUGUUUGAUCUCUCUCUCUCUCUCUCUCGUGUUCUUGAGGUGGUACGAUCUUGAUGUAUCACGAGCUUUGCUAUUAUAGUUGGAUCUUAUGAUGUUUCUCCCCUCUACUCUCUUGUGAUGAAUUGAGUUUUCCCUUUGAAGUUAUCUUAUCGGAUUGAGUCUUUAAGGAUUUGAGAACACUUGAUGUAUGUCUUGCGUGGGAUACCCGUGGUGACAAUGGGGUAUUCUAUUGAUCCACUUGAUGUAUGUUUUGGUGAUCAACUUGCGGGUUCCGCCCAUGAACCUAUGCAUAGAGGUUAGCACACGUUUUCGUCUUGACUCUUCGGUAGAAUCUUUGGGGCACUCUUUGAAGUACUUUGUGUUGGUUUGAAUAGAUGAAUCUGAGAUUGUUAGAUGCAUAUCGUAUAAUCAUACCCACGGAUAUUUGAGGUUACAUUGGAGUAUCUAGGUGACAUUAGGGUUUUGGUUGAUUUGUGUCUUAAGGUGUUAUUCUAGUACGAACUCUAUGAUAGAUUGAACAGAAAGAAUAGCUACAUGUUAUUUUACUACAGACUCUUGAAUAGAUCGAUCAGAAAGGAUAACUUUGAGGUGGUUUUGUACCCUACCAUAAUCUCUUCGUUUGUUCUCUGCUAUUAGUGACUUUGGAGUGACUCUUUGUUGCAUGUUGAGGGAUAGUUAUAUGAUCCAAUUAUUUUAUUAUUGUUGAGAGAACUUGCACUAGUGAAAGUAUGAACCCUAGGCCUUGUUUCAACGCAUUGCAAUACCGUUUGUGCUCACUUUUAUCAUUAGUUACCUUACUGUUUUUAUAUUUUCAGAUUACAAAAACCUUUAUCCAUCCAUAUACCACUUGUAUCACCAUCUCUUCGCCGAACUAGUGCACCUAUACAAUUUACCAUUGUAUUGGGUGUGUUGGGGACACAAGAGAAUCUUUGUUAUUUGGUUGCAGGGUUGCUUGAGAGAGACCAUCUUCAUCCUACUCCUCCCACGGAUUGACAAACCGUAGGUCAUCCACUUGAGGGAAAUUUUCUACUGUCCUACAAACCUCUACACUUGGAGGCCCAACAACGUCUACAAGAAGAAGGUUCUGUAGUAGACAUCAAGCUCUUUUCUGGAGCCGUUGCCGGGGAGGUUAGCGCUUGAAGGUAUAUCUUUAGAUCUUGCAAUCGAAUCUUUUUGUUUCUUGUUUUAGCACUAGUUUAGUUUAUAAAAGAAAACUAAAAAAAUAUGGCAUUGAGUUUGCCUCAUACGCUUCAUCUUUUUAAUAUCUUUCAUGAGUAUGAUGGAAAGGAAAAUUGUGCCAAAGUGUUAGAAGAAGAAUGCAUUAGAAUGUUUGGCACUAAAUCUUUGAAUGAUGAGCAUUAUUGCAAUGUUAUUAGUAUGAACUCUUUGAAUACCCAUAGUACUAAUGAUGAUUGCACUAGUUAUGAUGAAAAUGUCUCCUAUGAACAUGUCAAUUUUUGUGGAGUGCAUUGGGUUUGCAAGUACACACCAAAUAGGGAGGAUAGAUAUUGCAAGAGGCAUAAGCAUUUAGAAACUAAAUGGUUGCAAGAAAGGAUAAAUGUUAGUGCUGAAAAUUUAAAAUUUCUUAGCCAUACUUGUGAACUUUGCAAUGAACAUGGUCAUUUAAAUAUCAAAUGCAAAUUGUUUCAUGAUCGAAUCGUGCCCAAAAAUUGUGAUGACUUGAUUUCCCUUGCACAUUAUAAUGGACUUAGUUUGCUUUUGGGUUAUGAAGAAAUGAAACGUCAAACUAAGAUUAUUCCAGAAUAUAACCUCGACAAAUUCAUCGAUAUUGAUCUAGAAGAAGUUUAUAUGUAUUGUGCGGUGAAUUGCAUUGAAAAUCCUUAUAUUGCCAAUUAUAUAAAGAAAAGAAAACAAAUAGGCGAUGAAGAGAAUACUAAUGGAAGGGAAGAGACUUCCCAAUAUCCUCCUAUUAUUUCUUAUGAUGAAUCAGGUAACGAAGAGGAGCCUUCUAUUCAACCAAUCUCAUUAAUAAGGAGCUCCAAAAAUAGUGUUGAACCCACACAUGAUGUGAAGAAGAAAAAGAAAAGACGGAGAAGCAAAGGUAAAAAGGCAUCUCUCCCAAAUGAUGUUGCUCCUAUUACUCCUUGUGAUGAUGAUAGUUGCUAUACUAUUGGUGCUAUCAAUACUAUUAAUGAUAAAAGUGAUUAUGCUUAUGAUAUGAAAAGGCCCAAGCUUGGGGAUGCUAUGUUUGUUGAAGAUGAUGUUUUUGAGAAUAUAUUUGCUGAAAUUAAUGUUAGUCCCAAGCUUGGGGAAGCUAUGUUUAAUGAAGAUGAUAUUUGUAGUCUCCCAAGUUUUGAUAUGCAAAUUAGUUAUAAUGAUAGCGUGCCUCGUACUUAUGAUGAUUAUAUUGAUGAAAGUGGGUUUGGAAGAGUGUCAACUUUAGGAAGUAGUAAUCCCACUAUUUUGGAGGAUGUUGAGUCUCAUUGUGAUAAUUAUGAAAGUGGAUUUGGAGAGGUCAUGACUUUAUUUAGUAAUGAUUCCACUAUCUUGGAAGAGGUUUUAAUCGAUUAUGAUGAGAACAAAGUUGCUACCUAUGAUGAUUAUUGUGAUGAUACUUAUGCUAUAAAAAGUAGUGAUGAUUAUAUUUAUAAAACUUGUCAUGAUUAUGAUCACCUUUUUUUUCUGAACUUACUCUUUUAAUGUGGAAACAAUUUAUAGUAUUUGAGUCUCUUAUGAUACUCCCACUAUUCCGAAUGAGAAGAAUUUCGCUUAGGAGAGUAAUAAAAUGUAACGCCCCGAGACCGAUGUCAGGACCCCGAUUCCAAGUCACAUCGAUCUAGCCAGUAACACCUCAUAUCACUUUGCGGCCUCACGCACGGUAUCCCACGGGUGUCGCCUUACCAUGGCCUGGGACCGUUUGCGCCUUUUGGCUCACAUAUAUGAUAGUGUCGCUAGCAUCCAUAUGAUAGAGAACCCGGGCCGACAUGGCUAGUCGUGAACCCAAAGCGGCACAGACCUAUGGAGACAGGCAUACAUGUAUCACAUCGAGCAUGUCGGUCAUCAACGAGUGAUUCCGGGCUGUAGCACUGGGCUAACAGGACUCCGGGGAACCCGGGCUGUAGCAGGCUAGGUAGGACUCCGGAUAUCAUCGCAUGACAUUUCCCCGAAGGGACAGACAUAGGAACGAAGUGAAACACAUGCCGGCCAGUCAAGUGUCCUGAACAGUAGUGCUGGGCUAGCAGGACUCCGGUGAACCGGGCUGUAGCGGACUACUAUGGCUUGAGGAACACUAGACUACAUUUCCCCAUAAGAAAGGCUGCCAAGGAUAAACAACUAGAUUGUCGGAUCCCACUCAUACCAAGCAUUUCAAUCAUACACACAAUAUGCCCGAUAUGAGUACAUACAACAUGGCAUCACAACAAAACUCUACAACUCAAGUACUUUAUUUAAAGGCUGCAGAGAGCCAUACAUAACAUGUUCAUACAGAUAGGGGUCACAUGACCCGACACUCAAGUCAUACAAACAUACAAGCACAUGCGGAAGCAACCAGACUGAGUACAGACUCUAGAAAGAAAGAAGGCUUCUCGAAGCCUGACUAUCUACAUAGGGCCCGCCAUGGCCAGGAUCACCACCUGGGUGGCUAGUCACUCAUCAACGUCAAGGUCUAUGUAGAACCCAUCGGAGUGGGCGGUGUCCUCUGAAACAAUAAUUAAGCAAACAUGAGUACAAAGGUACUCAACAAGUCUUACAUCAGAACCUACUAUACAUGCUUAUUCUCAAGAAGCUGGUGGGGUUAAUGCAGCAAGCCAGCUUUGACUCUUGGCUAAGCUAUCCUACGGAACUUCACCAGUAAAAUAGUUUUCGCACACGAGUCCACUACUCACCAACACAAUACUCCACCGUGGAUCCUCCUUCGUCAUCCUACGAGAGGGCCAUCCUCGAUACUCACACUUAUCUUGAGUCUUUUAGUAGUGUCCAUUAACUUGUCUAUGAACUGUAUAGGCAACCAAGUAGUCCUUUACCACGGACGCGGCUAUUCGAAUAGUUUUAUACCCUGCAGGGGUGUACUUCUUCAUACACGCUUUCACCACUUACCGCCGCUUACAUGACAUGUACUCGGCAACCUUCAAGCGGAAGCCCAGCGAGGGUGUUGGCCACGGCCUACCUAAACACUUAAGUCUCUAGUCCAGGUUUAUUGCCUAUCCAGGUUCCAUCCGCAGGGAGUCCGACCGAGGUUUCCACAUAUGGCCCCGAACGAUGUGAACAGGGUCCCGAGACGCCAAACGGGCGCCCGGCAUACCCGGCCACGGUGUAUCUACCGCAACAUAGCCCACCCCUAGGGUCAGCGCUACGCAGGGCCGCCAACACAUAACCUACAAACACCAGAAACUAUUUGCAACUCCUGGACAGAGUACUAGGGUGAUUAAGAAGCCGAGAGGGUCAAUUAAGGAUCCCAAUGCAUGGUAGUAGCUGAAUCUUAAAAUCACACAUACAGAUCUCAGUUCUUAGGGACGGCCUCAAUGAAACAACCCACCAUGUACUCCUACAUGGCCUCUCAUUGAUACCUUUACCAAAACAUGUUCAACACAUCCCUCACAUUACCGACAUAAGCAUUUCACUCUAGCCCAUCACCCAGAUGAACCAGACCUGACACAACUCUAAGCAUAGCAGGCAUAGCAAGGUAGGAAUCACAUAUAUGGCUCAAUCAACUCCUACACAUGCUAGUGGGUUUCAUCUAGUUACUGUGGCAAUGACAGGUCAUGCAGAGGAUAAGGGUUCAACUACCGUAGCACACAGUAGUUUGAAUCGCGUUGUCUUAAUGCAGUAAACAAGAGCAGAAGCGAGAACAUGGGUUUGUAUCAGAAUGAUCAAUGGUUGCUUGCCUAAUGGAGUGGUAGCGGGAUACUGCCCUUCAGUUGGAUACUCGUGAAUAUCCUCGGAGGCAGACCCUACCACGAAGAACACAUCGGAGCACAAUCAACACAUGACGAUAUGCAACAAUAUGAUGCAUGCUAUGACAUGGCAAUAUGAAUGUGUCUUGGCCUAAUGCAAGUUAUAAUAGAGAGGAAUGAACUCAUUUGAAUCAAAGAUUCAAAUAUUAGCUCAUUAAACAUGGCCUUAAUAGUGCAUUUCCUUAUUCUGCUUAAACAGCAAGGUAAACUUGUUUUGUCAUGCAUGAAACCAUUACAGAUGGAUAGAUUGAAUUUUUCUGAUCAUUUUUCAUAUAUAAUUCUUUGCAUUUGGAGCUAUGGUUGAUUUUCUAUGAUUUUUAGAAGUUUUGACUAUUUUCUGGAAUUUCCUGAAUAAAAUUAAAUCCAGAAAAUGCAUUACUGCGUCAGCAUUGCGUCAUGCUGACCUCAGCAGGUCAAAGGCGCCAGCCCAGGUCAAACCUGACUGGUGGGCCCCUUCUGUCAGCCUCUCAGUGCACUAACUACAUUUAGUUAGCCUAAUUACUGGGCAGGGCCCACUAGUCAGUGACUAUACUAAUUAAACUAACUAAUUUUAGUUAGAAACUAAUCUGGAUAAUUAGCAGAGGGGGUCCCACUUGUCAUUGACUCAAAGGAGUCAACCUGGGCCCACCCAGUCCAUGUCAGUGGUCAAACCACCGGUCAACAGGGCUAAUCCCGCCGGCGUUGAGUCGCCGGCGAGGCCGAGACGGCGGAGGGCUUCGGAAAACGCCCUCAGGCGACCAAAUCGACGACGGAGACCAUCUACGGGUAGCUGGGAACGAGCCGCAGCGUUUGGGGGUGGUAGUUGGGCUCGGGGUGGCCGGAAUCGUCGCCGGCGACGAGCUUGGCGGUCGCCGGAGUCGGGUGAGGACGGUUUCGACGCUACGGUGCACGGGAGGAAGAGCUGGUGGUGGCUACGGGUUCCUGGUGCUGCACUGAGCACGGUUAGGCGCUCUGUUGUGAGCUUGCACGGCUGUGGCCACGGCUGCGCCAUGGCCGGCGAUGGGGAGCUCUCGGGUGUGGUGGAAAAUGGAGCUAGGGGACGAGCGCGAGCACGAGAGAAGAGGGAAAAGGAAGAGGAGCUCACAGCGGGGUCAGAGAGGGGGUCAGCGAGCUCGGGGAGGUCCUGGCGGCGGCGAAUCGACCGGAGAUGGCUCGGGUGCCCGAGGUUGAAGACGAGGGAGAAGGCGGCGAUGUAGGGCCUCCGGCGAUGCGUGGCUCGGUGGGGAGGACGAGGGAGUCGAGGCGGAGCUGAUGGGCUCGUCAGAGGGGCGUGGGAGUGGCUGUGGUGGCAACUACGGCGAUCGGCGGUGAGGUACGCGCUCGGCCGUCGCGGGAGAGAAAGAGGGAGACGAGGGGGAGAGUGAGAGAGGAUGAGAGGGAGACGUGGGGGUCACGUGGCGUCCUCUGGGCGUCUCCCGGCGUCGGCAGAAGCAGGAGGUGGCCGGCGCGUGGCCGGCGAGCGGCGAGCACGCACCCUGCGUCCUUCUGGCGCGAGGAGGACGACGACUGGCAGCGCCAGUAGGCUGGGCCGAGCCAGGUGGCUGGGCCAGCACAGGUAAGGCCCAGGUGGGCUUCUUUCUCCUCUUUUUUUAUUUAGUUUUUGUUUUCUAUUUAAUUGCAACUGUUGGGCUUUAAAUAAAAUACUAAAAUGUUUCCAAAAAUCCUGAAAAUAAAUGUGGCCUCUGUUUAGAUUAUUUCCAAUAGGAAACAUUUAUUCCCAGAAUUAUUUGAGCAUUUAGAUUAUUUUAUAGCAUUUAAAUGCCCAAAUUCAAAUACUUAUGAUUUAAUUCAAUGACCUUCUGUUGACCUAGAAAAUUGUGCACCAAUUUUGCCAGAGGUUCUAACUGAAGACAAAGAGGGUGAACUUUUUAGAAGGGCAUUUCAGGUUCAUUGAAAAUAAUUUUAGUAAACCCUAGUUGUUUCCAGGGGGGGUGUUGGGGGUUCUGUCAUCCCCAUUUCAAAUUUAAGAGAAAAAUAGACAUGAUGCACAUUCUAAUGCUUGAACUAGCUAGGGUGUGACAACUCACCCCCACUCAAAAGAAUCUCGUCCCGAGAUUUAGAAUCCUCCGGGAAGAAGGUGGGGUACUCGAGUCGAAGACGAUCCUCCCUUUCCCAAGUGGCUUCUUUCUCGGAAUGUUGUGACCAUUGAAUCUUGAGAAACUUGAUAUUCUGACGCCGAGUGGUACGCUCGGCCUGAUCAAGGAUACUGUCGGUGUACUAGAGUAGGGGUACCCUAGUAUCCCGAACUCGUGCACGGGCAGUUGCAGCACCCCGCGGCAAGGCUUGCCGGGUGACCGCCAAGACCCUCCGUGGAUCCCUUGAAGACCAUUCAAGAACAAAGUACUCAAACCAAGGCCCCGACAAGAGGAGCUUGCCGGGAAGGCCAAACAAGGCCCCGGCAAGAGGAUCUUGCCGGGAAGAGACAAGACGACAAGAGGAGCUUGCCGGGAAGGCUACUCAAGGCAUACCAAGAAAGCUUGCCGCGAUGCGCCCUGCGUCCCGGCAAGAUCCAACGAGCGACAAGCUUCCGGACGCGACAAGACGACGGCCGCGGCAAGGAGCUUGCCGCGGGAAACCCCCACUUCGUGCCCGCGCUCCAGCACACCUGCUAACGUGUCGCUCUGGGACUCUCCCAAGCACACGUGGCAGGAGGCCGUGCAGCUAGGGGUACGUGGUGGCAAGCGGAGAUGAAGAGAAGCCCAUCGUGGCAAACGGUGGCGCUCCUAACGGUCACCUUUUGCACUGUUUAGGAGACUCAGACAGGCAUUUAAUUCCCUUGUCCCCUGCCGUCAGAGUUAGGUAGGGUGCACUGUAUCCACAGUAGCGGUAGCUGCACCUACCGCAUCCUUUUCCAUUUUUACCCUUCUAGUCUACGUUGCCACCUGUGGGUAACCCCUUGAAAGUAUAAAAGGAGGCCCAAGCGCAACGUAGAGGAGGGUCGGCCAGUUCGGCUCAUUGGAGAUACCAGAAACACUCCCACGCUCAGUCUGGUAGCGUCGAUCGCUCCUGAGCAAAGAUUCAAUACACACAAACAAGCAGCAGUAGGGUUUUACGCAUCCGUGCGGCCCGAAGCUGGGUAAAAUCCCCCCCGCGUGCACCGCCUCGAUCCGCUCUUUGUGCGCUCUCCGCCUCCCACCGAACCGAAAGGGGCCCUGUCCCCAUAGGUGUUGGUGGAAUCAGCACCCCCCGACAUCUCUGGCGCGCCAGGUAGGGGGCGUCGAGAUUGUGCGAACCCGAUCCGGCGUGCGCGCAAGCUAAAUCUUCAUCGUCUUCAUCGACAUGCCACCGAAGAAGAAGGGUUCGGAGGCAGCUGUCCCGUCUGCGUCGCUUCCACCGCCUCCGGAGCAAACGGGUGGUGGAGUGGACGCCGGCGGAGGAAUGGGCGUCGACGAGGGUGCCCACAGCGCUGCCAAGUCCAAGGACAAGGCGGCACAGACCUCGACGUCCAUGCGAGCACCGCGCCCCUCUCAGGAGGCGCGGGACCAGCAGCAUCAUAGCGUUCGCACCGCUAUACGUCCGCUGACCCAAGAUCAAGCUGGUGGUUCGCGUGGCGUUCAAGACCAGCAUGCACGCCAGCAUGCUGGCCCCAGCGAGGUGCGGUCGCCGGGACGGGACGCUGCUCCUUCUAACUUGGUUAGGAGUCCGAGCACGCCCCUCUCCUCGCACCGUUCACCUCCGCCGCCUACCACUCCAGCAGAAGCCUUGGUGCGGGCCCAGCUGCUCUUGGACUAUCCUCCGACGGCGGACAAGACCGACGAAUGGAGGGCCACUAUCCAGAGCCUCAUCGGCUUCACCAAUGGCGACACUGCGCGGCGACCAAGCACCUCGCUGCUGCGGCAGGACAGCCGGACACGAGCCGAUGGCAACAAGACUGAGGGAGGUGCGACUUCCAUGCACUCCCCACUACGAAGGCCAAAAUCGCCGACUCGCCGGGUCCACCCCAACAGCGGCUCCACCGUGUCGUCGGACCCACGAGUUCAUCGCGACCAGCGCCAAGUUCUCCAUGAACGACAACAAGAAGACGCCCGAACCCGCAUCAAGUGCCGAAGAGAAGCGCGACGUCAAUCCGACAAGCGCGCUGGGCUCUCUGUUGACAUGCAUGCGCCGGGGGAACCAGGCGAUCUGCCGUACGCGGUAGGUUGUCCUGCAUUCACCCGUGAGCUGCGGCAAGUCCAGUGGCCCAGCACAAAGAAUUUCAAGCCAGACGUGCCGGAGAAGUAUGACGGCAAGACGCAUCCGUCGGAGUUCCUCAGCAUCUACACCAUUGCGGUGCAGGCUGCUGGGGGGCGAGAUGACAAGAUUCUUGCCAACUACUUCCCGCUGGUGCUCAAACCCAAUGUCAGAUCCUGGCUCAUGCACUUGCCGGACAACUCCAUAUCCACAUGGGCUGAUCUGUGCCAUCAGUUUGUCAGCGCCUUUACAGGCGGCCACAAGCCACAUGGCCAAGAGAGCGAUCUUCAUCUGCUCGCCCAGAAGGAAGGAGAGCCAUUGCGCAAGUACAUUCAGAGAUUCAGCCGCGUACAGCACAACAUCCCAGAACCCGCCGCGAUCAUCAGCGCGUUCCAUCAGAACGUGCGAAACCGAAGGAUGAGAGAGGAGAUGGCGAUGUGUAAGAUCAGAGACGUCAGCGAGCUUUACGCCUUGGCUGACAAGUGUGCACGCGCUGAAGAGGGGAGGAGGCUCCCCGGAGAGAGUACAGGAGCAGGAGGAUCUGACAGUGAGGAUCCCGCCCCGGCAAGGAAAGGCCGGCGGCGGAACAACAAAAGGAAUAAGGGUAAGGAAGUGCUGGCUGUCGAGCAGACCGACAACGGAGGUGGCGCCAAGGAAGCUAAGGCUGGUGGCUCCGACAAGGAGGCCCAUCCGGUGGCGGCCGCCGACAAGCAGGACAGCUCCGGCAGGCAGUAUUGCAAGAUUCACCGCACCAAGGGUCACGAUCUCCAGAACUGCAAGAAGGUCGAACAGCUUGCUGAGCAGCAGAAAGCUGAAUACGAGCGACGUGACAAAGAGAAGGCCCAGGAAGGAACUGGUGGAUCCGGCAAGAAACGCCCCGGCCGGGGAGGACGCCGCGGCAAGGCCAAACGGCGGCAAGGAGACAGACCUCCCCGCGGCCGCGACAAGGAUGAAGAUGACGACGAUGACAAAGACGUGGAUGAUGAUGAGGCUGAUGAGCAGGAAUUUCAGAAAGCCACAGAGGUCCUGUGCAUUGACGGUGGCGCCUCUCUGCAUACUUCGCACCGCCAGCUCAAGCAGUGGAUGCGGGAAGUGAAUGCAGCGGAGCCAUCCAUAGAGUCACGCAAACCCCUGAAAUGGUCCAGCACGCCUAUCAUCUUCGACAUUGGGGAUCACCCUGAUCGCAUAACUACGGUCGGGUGCUUGCCGAUGUUGGUUUCACCAACUAUCUGCAACCUCAAGGUCACAAAGAUGCUAGUUGACGGCGGGGCCGGCUUGAAUCUCAUCUCCUCCGCGGUCCUUCACAAACUCCAGAUCCCCGACAGCGAGCUCGAAGAGACCGACACAUUCCAAGGAAUCAACCCGGGAAGGAGCAAGCCGAAAGGGAAGAUCACGCUGCCGGUCACAUUUGGCAGCAAGCUGAACUUCAGAACUGAGAGGGUCACAUUUGACGUUGCCGAUUUUCCAUUGCCGAUUUUCCAUUGCCCUACAAUGGGAUCCUUGGCCGUCCAGCGCUCGCCAAGUUUAUGGCAGCCUCUCACUAUGCAUACAACGUGCUCAAAAUGCUAGGCCCGAUAAGUGUCAUCUCUGUCCCCGGCGACAAGAAGGAUGCCCUUAUCUGCGCCGACAAGAUCUACCGGGAAGCAGCAGCUGCAGCCGAUCACCACACACUUGCCGCUGAAGCUCCCGGGGGGAAGAAGAAGGCCAAGUCCGGCAAGAGCUCUGAUGCCCACUCCGGCAGGCGCACCUCUUCGGAGUGCUGUGCUACCGUCGGGGUCGCACCAUCGAGCUCCACCGGCAAGUGCAAGAAGACGAUGGUAGCUCCACCCGAGACCAAGAAGGUGUCUGCCAAGGAGGACGGCACUGGUGGUACCUUCACCAUCAGUGCCACGCUUGACCCCAAAUAGGAAAGCGCGCUCAUUGCUUUCCUGCGGGCGAAUGUCGACGUGUUUGCAUGGCAACCGUCAGAUAUCCCCGGUGUUCCCAGGAAAGUAAUCGAGCACCACCUUGCCGUCUGUCCUCAUGCGCGGCCCGUCAAGUAGAGAGUCAGGAAGCAGGCAGUGGAACGCCAAGAUUUCAUUGCAGAAGAGAUCAGGAAAUUGGAAGCAGCAGGCCUUGUCAGAGGAGUGCUCCAUCCCACGUGGUUGGCCAAUCCUGUAGUCGUGCGCAAGGCGAGCGGGAAGUGGAGGCUUUGUAUAGACUUCACUGAUGUCAAUAAAGCUUGUCCCAAAGAUCCAUUUCCCUUGCCGCGCAUUGACCAGAUUGUUGACUCCACAGCUGGAUGUGAUUUGCUUUCAUUUCUUGAUGCGUAUUCAGGAUACCAUCAAAUCUUCAUGGCAGAAGAAGAUGAGGAGAAAACCGCAUUUAUCACCCCUUGUGGCACAUACUGUUUUGUACGGAUGCCCUUUGGGUUGAAGAAUGCUGGUUCAACAUUUGCAAGAGUAGUCCAUGUCGCUUUUGAGCCACAGAUACACAUAAAUGUGGAAGCCUACAUGGCUGAUAUAGUGGUCAAGAGCAAGGACAAGGCUACCCUGAUCCAAGAUUUUGAAGAAACUUUUGCAAAUCUGCGCAAGAUCAACCUCAGGCUCAACCCCGAGAAGUGCGUGUUUGGAGUCCCUUCCGGCAAGCUUCUCGGGUUCUUUGUGUCUCAGCGGGGGAUUGAAGCCAACCCCGACAAGAUUAAGGCCAUCGAGCAGAUUGAAGCACUGAAGCGCGUCAAGGAUGUGCGAAGGCUUGCCGGUUGCGUGGCUGCUCUCAGCAGGUUUAUCUCUAAGUCUGCUGAGUGCGCCCUGCCGUUUUUCAGAAUAUUGAAAAAGGCAGGUCCGGUGAAAUGGACUCCGGAAGCGGAGGCUGCGCUGCAGGACUUGAAGAGGUACCUGUCCUCCACUCCAAUACUUGUCGCACCUAAGCCACAAGAGAAGUUGCUGCUGUACCUAGCAGCAACCAAUCAAGUGGUUAGUGCUGCGUUAGUAGCGGAGAGGGAGGCGGACGAUGAGCCAGCAACCGCGGCAAAUGAAUCAAGCGACAAGCAGGGGGCUUCUCCGACAAGCUCUGGUCCCGACAAAGAUGGAUCUGCGCAGAUGUGCAAGGACGUGCAGAAGAAGAUGGUGCAGCGACCAGUUUACUUUGUCAGCUCCCUUCUCCAGGGGGCUAGGUCGAGGUACUCUGGUGUGCAAAAAUUGCUUUUCGGCCUUCUCAUGGCCUCAAGAAAGCUGCGCCAUUACUUCCAGGCACACGAGAUCACUAUCGUCACUCGCUUUCCGCUGAAGAGGAUACUGCAGAAUCCAGAAGCAACAGGCAAGAUUGUCGAGUGGGCAUUGGAACUGUCAAGCUUUGGCCUCAAGUUUGAGAGCACUGCAACUAUCCAAAGCAGGGCAUUGGUAGAGUUCAUAGCAGAGUGGACGCCAACUCCAGAUGAAGAAAUUCCAGAGGCGAGCAUCCCCGUCAAGGAGUCAAGCAAAGAGUGGCUGAUGUACUUUGAUGGUGCCUUCUCGCUGCAAGGCGCCAGUGCUGGCGUGCUGCUUAUCGCACCCACCGGAGAGCACCUCAAGUACAUAGUCCAGAUGCACUUUCCCAAAGAGCAAGCAACCAACAAUACUGCAGAGUAUGAAGGGUUGCUUGCCGGUCUCAGAAUCGUAGCCGACCUUGGGAUCAAGAAGCUCAUUAUCAGGGGUGACUCACAGCUUGUCGUCCGCCAAGUGAACAAGAACUACCAGAGUCCAUUGAUGGAAGCUUAUGUUGAUGAAGUGAGAAAGCUAGAAGCACACUUUGACGGCCUGCAAAUGGAACACGUUCCACAAGCUCAGAACGAUAUUGCUGACGGCCUGUCAAAGCGCGCAGCACUAAAGUUACCUGUGGAACCAGGGAUUUUUUUGCUCAAGCUGACUCAACCAUCCGUGACACCAUCAACUGGACCAAGCAAAAAGAGGAAGUUGGUUUCCGGUGACUACUUUCCGGCAGAGCUCCCCGAAGCCGCCGCCAAGAAAGUCCCCAAGAUCAACACCAAGGAUGCUGAGGAGUAGUCUGCUUCGGCAAGCCUUAUGGUUUGUACCGUCAAAGCACAUGCUCCCGGCAAGUUCGGCUCCGGCAAGCUUGCCGGGGAAUAUCACGCUCCGGCCGAACCGCAGGUUCUUGCCGUAGAAGCGGAUGUUCCCGCAGCAACAGAUAUGCCUUUAGUCCUUGUUGUCGAGCCGCAAGCUCCAGCAUGGGCGCAGUAGAUUGUCCGUUUCCUUCAGACAGGAGAGCUUCCCGAAGAGCAAGAAGAAGCUGAAAAAGUAGCCCGGCAGUCAAGUAUGUACAAGUUUAUCGACAACACACUGUACAGAAUAAGACUCAACGGUGUGAAAUUGAAGUGCAUUCGCCGGGAAGAUGGACAACAGCUGUUGGCAGAGAUACAUGGAGGCAUAUGUGGUCACCACAUUGGCGCAAGAGCACUUGUCGGCAAAGCGUUCCGACAAGGCUUCUUCUGGCCGACAGCCCUCUAGGAUGCAACUGCACAAGUAACCAAGUGUGAAGCGUGCCAGUUUCAUUCCAAACAGAUACACCAGCCGACUCAAGCUCUCCAGACGAUCCCUUUAUCCUGGCCAUUUUCGGUCUGGGGGCUCGACAUCCUCGGCCCCUUCCCCCGAGCUGUCGGGGGCUUUGAGUUCUUGUACGUUGCAAUCGACAAGUUCACAAAGUGGCUGGAAGUGGAACCAUUGAGGAAGGUGACAGCACAGUCAGCAGUCAAGUUCUUCAGGUCGAUUGUUUGCCGUUUCGGGAUCCCUAACAGGAUCAUCACCGACAACGGCACACAGUUUACGAGCCGCACCUUCAUGCAGUACGUCCAAGAUCUUGGCGCCAAGGUCUGCUUCGCUUCUGUUGCUCAUCCGAGAAGCAACGGUCAAGCAGAGAGAGCAAACGCUGAAGUGCUGCAAGGCCUCAAGACCAGAACUUUCGACAGGCUGCACAAGUGUGGAAGAAACUGGAUCGAGGAGCUGCCGGUGGUUCUUUGGUCGAUCAGGACGACACCAAAUCGAGCCACUGGCCACACACCCUUCACUCUAGUCUAUGGAGCGGAGGCAGUUCUCCCCACGGAACUCGUAUACGGGUCACCUCGAGUGCUCGCUUAUGAUGAGCUCGAGCAAGAGCAGCUGCGGCAAGAUGACGCGCUGCUCCUUGAGGAAGACCGUCUCCAGGCUGCUGUGCGAGCCGCUCGCUACCAGCAAGCUCUGCACCGCUACCAUAGCCGCAUAGUCAAUGCCAGGAGUCUCGAGAAAGGCGACCUUGUUCUUCAGCGCGUUCAGUCGGCCAAGAAUUCCAACAAGUUGACGCUGAAGUGGAAAGCCCUUAUCGGGUGAAACGAGUCACUAGGCCCGGCGCUGUCCGCCUUGAGACCGAAGAUGGCAUUCCAGUGAGCAACUCCUGGAACAUCGAGCGUCUUCGUAAGUUUUACCCGUAAGGCGUGGUUGUCGGACCCCGUCCGGCAACCACCUUUCUGUACAAGUCUUGCCGCUGUUGCAUGUAAUCCUUUGUACAGAGCCGGGCGCAGACCCCGUGCACUAGUAAAGUUCAUGUGCCCCGCACAUCUUGUCAGCUUUCUUUUAUGCUAUAAUCCUUUUAUGCAUAUAUUAUCUGACACUUUGUGCAGCACUAGAACCCGGUAAGCGAUAACGAGCCCAAGGCACCAUAUCAUUACUUUAUUUCCCUAUUUCUUUCUCAAAAGAAGGAAGGUUCCCUCGCCCACACGGUUUACCGGGNNNNNNNNNNNNNNNNNNNNNNNNNNNNNNNNNNNNNNNNNNNNNNNNNNNNNNNNNNNNNNNNNNNNNNNNNNNNNNNNNNNNNNNNNNNNNNNNNNNNNNNNNNNNNNNNNNNNNNNNNNNNNNNNNNNNNNNNNNNNNNNNNNNNNNNNNNNNNNNNNNNNNNNNNNNNNNNNNNNNNNNNNNNNNNNNNNNNNNNNNNNNNNNNNNNNNAAGAAGGUUUCUCCUUGCCGGGAAGCAGACGACAGAAAAGCUAAGUUGCUAAAGCUUGAGCAAUCAGUUUUUUAAGUUUUUGAGUUAUUUCCCUUGAACGACCGUGCUUUGUAUGGAAAACCUGUGCGCGGAGGAACCAACUCAUAGCUAGUUGCGCCUUUAUUUUGUUUCGAGCCCGCUCAACAACUUAAGCGAGCUGCUAGCGCCCUUACUUUUGCUUCGAGUCCGCUCAGCAACUUAAGUGAGCUGCUAGCGCCCUUACUUUGUUUCGAGUUCGCUCAACAACUUAAGAGAGCUGCAACUAGUUGCGACAAGGUUGCUUGUCGAUAGCGACCCCGCCAGCAGGCUGCUGAAGUUCCGCACUCGGCGCUCGCGGCAAGGGUGUCCGCACCGGCAAGUUUCCCUAGAAAGCGUAGGGCAGAACCAUACAAGGCCAAGAGUCGAGUAAAGGAAGUAACACAACAAUUUUUUGCCUAAGAUAGAGUUAUAUUACAGAAAUAACUUGUCGCGCCUCUAAUAAAGUGUUCCCAUGACAUGACUGGCAGCGACAAGAAAAGAAGAAAACGGACGGCCUAAUCUACGCGACCGCCGUCAACCCUUUUGACCUCGUUCACCCUGCCCACAAUGGGUGCGACGAGGGCCUUAAGUGCGUCAAGAUCAGCGUUCGCCGGCAGCUUCUUGAGGACGUUGGUUAGGUUGAGGCCCGGAUUGCGGAAGGCCACCUUCACCAGCACCUUCUCCAGAACUCCGGCGCAAAUCGAGCGUGACUCGUCGGCCAACUGCUUUGGGAUCCGUUCCCGGAGUUGCUGGAGCGCCGCCGCCACGCCUUUGAAGAACAGAGUGAGCUUGGCGCUGGGUUGGAGGUUCUCGUCGGAGGAGUACCCGAAGCCUUCCACCCCCAAAUGCACCAGCUCCUCUUCGAUGACUGCAGCAAUAUUCACGAGAACCUCCGUCCAGAGCUCCACGGUAUCUCUGAGGAGAUUCUGGGUUUCGGCGGCUCUCGCCAGCAGUGCCUCAUUGGCCUCGAUGUCCUUCUUCAAGUCUGCCUCCCGUUUCCUGGCGCUGUCCAACGUCUCCGUCAAGGUGGCCAGCUUCAGCUCCAGAUCAGCGUUGGAAUCCUUGGCGGCACGCAGCUCUUUGCCCUUUUCGGAGAGUUGGCCCUGCAACUCACCGUGGGCAAGGGCGUCCUUCUCGCGCUCUAGCUUGAGCGCGGCAAGCUCUUUGCCACCAACCUUCAGAUCAGUUUCUAGCUGCGCCACCUUUGCCUCCAAGUCUUUCUUGGCAGCCUCGGCAGCCGCAGCCGUAUCCUUUGCCUCUUGGAGCGUCCCGCCAAGUGCCCGUUCGCGCGCGGCAAGCUCCUCUUCGUGGCUGUCGAGGUUCACUUUCCGCUGAGUCAGCUCGCCUUCUCGCGCGUACAGCUUCUCGCCGGUGAGCCGCUGCUGCUCUUCAGCUUCGGCCUUCUCGAGGAGGAAGGCCUUCCGCUCCUCAGCAAGCUGCUCCCGCUCCUCCGCCAAGGCCCGGAGAGUUUCUUGGCGAAGACCCCGGAGCUCCUCCGUGCGCUUCUCUAUGUCCACGCUCGCCCUCGCGACAAGCGCUUCCCGGGACUCCAACUUGACCUGGCGGGCGCGGUAGAGCGCCAGCAGCCUCCGUAGCAACCGCUCCUCCUCAGGCUCGCCGCUGCUGCUUCCUGGCGAGUCGACGAUCGACAACCCAGCGGAGGCAAGCACCUCCCCAUCCAGAGCUUCUCCUUCCACCGGCGCCCUGGAGCUCGACGUCCAGGGGAGCUUGAUGAAGAUGCCCUCGCCAGCCUUCAGAUAGGCGCCGGACUGGGGCUCCUCGGAGCCUGACGCUGCGGCAGCGGCGGAGGGAUCGGCGGUCGGUGCAGCGCCCGAUGCUCCUGCGGCCUCAGGGCCGUCAGUGCGAUCGCCAGAUCCCCCGCCAGCUUCUUUGACAGCAGUCUUGGCGACCUCUUCGCCAGCGGGCACGUCAGCGCCGGCUCCUUCUUCGGUGGCCGCAGCAUCAUCAGUAUUGCCGCGCGCGUCUUCCUCGCCGCCCGCCUCGGUCUCCAUCGGAUCCGUGGAGGGUGGGUCUGAUGACCAAAGAAGAAGGAGAAAUCAAACAAGUGUUUGAGAAGAGAAAUCAGCAGAAGACUACAAGGAAAGUUUCGGGCAAGAAGGGCUACCUGUGCUAGGAUCUGCCGUCGUGACCUCCACCACCGGCGGAUCGUUAGCGCUGUCCCUUGCCGGAGACUCCUCCCUUGCCGGAGGCUCCUCCCUUACCGGAGGACGCUCCCUUGCCGGGGAGUCCGCCCUUGGCGGCGUAGUCAAAGCAGACGACGAGUCGGAGGAGAUCACCACGCCCUCCUGAUCAAGCUGUUCUGCUCCUGCACAAACAAACCAGUGAUCAGAUGUCAACAAAGGAAAAGAGCAACCACGCGCACCCAGAAGCAGAAAGUAAACCAUAUGCUCACGCUGGGGGCUGCGCUAGGGGCUGCUCUGCGAAGCGGUGGCCGGAUCCGGCAAGGUGGUCUCGGGCGCGCCUCCUGUCGUCGCAGUGGGCUCGUCCUCGAUGACCACCACCUGAGCCUUGGCCCUCUUCGCCGCCCUCUGGGCCAGAGUCCUGAAAAGGAAGAGUCCAGGAUGGGUCAGAUCAGAUGCAAGAUAACAUCAGCAAGUUGAAGAACCACCAGAACAACAAGGGAAUCUUACUCUUCUUCAUCUUCCUCGUCGGAGCUGAGCGCGGAGAGGUCGAAGUUCGGCCCAUCUCCGGCACGACGAGGUGGAGGGGUGGGAUCCCUUGGCCGCUUGGCGGGGGCUGCGGCGCCAGCCCGAGACGACCCCGCUUCAGUUGUCGCUACGACAGGAGGCGCUCCCACGGCAACCGUACUUGCCACGGUAGAGCGCGUCGCGCGACGCUGCGGCUGUUGGCCCACUUGCCACCCUGCUACGUCGCCAACCCUGUGGAGGCGCCUUCUUGGCUGCGCUGCGGGCCCUGCUCGCAGCAAGCUCCUCGGAGAUGGCGGGCCGCUCGCACCCUCGGCGGGCUCGUUCGACUCGGCAUCGGGCGCGGCGAGCUCUUCUUCCUCUUCAGGCUGCUCCCGUUCGGCAAUACUCAUCGCCAACGCCGCAUCCGCUUCCUCCAUGUUGAACCCGAAUUCACCCGCGGCCGCGGCUGCCGCCGCCUCUUCUGCCCUGGUGGCGAUGCGCUCCAUCUCUUGCUUUGUGGUGUCGCGGGUGAGGAGCUUCUUCUCGUCAGCAUUGACCGCCACCUCCACUAGGCUGUCAAAGAACUGCUGCACGAUGUCGCCGGCGGGCUCUUGCCAAGUUGGAGCAAUCCCGUGCGAGUCACACAACGGCAUCAUGGCGCAGAUGCGGUCGCGUGAAGAGUUGUUGCACAGAGGAACGACGCCUGCCGACAACCUGAACCACUCGGGAUGCUGUGGGUCGUGCUUGAAUAUCUCCUUGAGUAUCCCGUCCAACUCCAUGACGGUGAAGUUGAAGUUGAGGCCUGGGCGCAACCUCAUGAUAUCUGCCGGGCCUCCAAAUUCCCAGGCAGGUCUCCCCCUCGCCUGCAGAGGGGCGAUGCACCGGCGAAGGAAAUCUGCGCCAACAGCUCCUAUAGUCAGCCCGGCAAGCCUGAGGCGCAAGAUCCGAGUGAUGGCGAUCAUCAGCUUGUCGUCAUCCACGGACAGAGCGCUCCAGUCAUUGCCACGCACUGCUGGGGCUUGGCGCAGGGCAGUGAACGGCUGUGGGCUCUCUUCUACAACCCAGCACCAAUCAGCUCUCCACUCGUCCCACUUGCUGCGGAGCUCCCCCUCCAGAUAGGUCUCCUUCUUGCCGGCCCGCGAGAUCCAGGUGAUCCCGCCGGCAAGAGGUUCCCCUCUCUCAACACGAGGCAUAAAGAAAUGGCGGAAGAGAGCUACGUUGGGGUGGACUCCGACAAAGUUUUCGCAUAGAUGGGCGAAAACUGCCAUGGUCAGGACGGCGUUGGGGGUAAAGUCAAGGAGGUGGAGUCCAUAGGUGUUCAUGACGUCGCAAAAGAAAUCAGAGAAUGGCGGGCAGAGCCUGCAGUAGAAGAACACGGCGAAGAAAGGAUAUCCGCCAACUGGAGCUGCUUGCGAGGCGACGACGGAGAGUACCUUCGUGUGAGGAUGCGCCCGCGUCUCCGUCGACCAGAAGAGAUAGUACCACUCCCUCAGCUCCUCCGCGGAGAGCUCGNNNNNNNNNNNNNNNNNNNNNNNNNNNNNNNNNNNNNNNNNNNNNNNNNNNNNNNNNNNNNNNNNNNNNNNNNNNNNNNNNNNNNNNNNNNNNNNNNNNNNNNNNNNNNNNNNNNNNNNNNNNNNNNNNNNNNNNNNNNNNNNNNNNNNNNNNNNNNNNNNNNNNNNNNNNNNNNNNNNNNNNNNNNNNNNNNNNNNNNNNNNNNNNNNNCCUCAAGCCGCUGCGCUUCGGUCGACUUCACAGCUUUCUCGGCCGCGGCCUUCGCGGCCUUCCCCUUCCCGGACUUUGGAGGCAUGGCGGAGGCGAUGGGGGAGAUCGACGGUGCUGGUGGUGGUGACGGCGAUGGGAGCGGAGCGCUGCUCUCUUUCGACUUUGGAAGCGGAAGAGGGCGGCGGAGAUUUCUGAGAUUGCAGCAGCAAAUGGCGAAGAUAGGGGAAAUACCCCUGUUUCCCCUGCUUAUAAGGGGGACGGGGCGGACGUUUCGACCUUCCAAGUAAACAACCACCCACGAUCUCUCCCACGACGCCGCGAUUGACGCGGGCCGUUGCGGGGGGCACGGUGGAUACGGAGUUAGAUUCGGCGUGACCUAGGCCGCGCGUGCCCGUGCACUGUUUUGGGCCUGGCCCAACAGCGCUCGGCACCGUGUAUGGCCCAGGCCCGGGGGCUCCUGUCGGUGUACUAGAGUAGGGGUACCCUAGUAUCCCGAACUCGUGCACGAGCAGUUGCAGCACCCCGCGGCAAGGCUUGCCGGGUGACCGCCAAGACCCUCCGUGGAUCCCUUGAAGACCAUUCAAGAACAAAGUACUCAAACCAAGGCCCCGGCAAGAGGAGCUUGCCGGGAAGGCCAAACAAGGCCCCGGCAAGAGGAUCUUGCCGGGAAGAGACAAGACCCCGGCAAGAGGAGCUUGCCGGGAAGGCUACUCAAGGCAUACCAAGAAAGCUUGCCGCGACACGCCCUGCGUCCCGGCAAGAUCCGGCGAGCGACAAGCUUCCGUACGCGACAAGACGACGGCCGCGGCAAGGAGCUUGCCGCGGGAAACCCCCACUUCAUGCCCGCGCUCCAGCACACCUGCUAACGUGUCGCUCUGGGACUCUCCCAAGCACACGUGGCAGGAGGCCGUGCAGCUAGGGGUACGUGGUGGCAAGCUGAGAUGAAGAGAAGCCCAUCGUGGCAAACUGUGGCGCUCCUAACGGUCACCUUUUGCACUGUUUAGGAGACUCAGACAGGCAUUUAAUGCCCUUGUCCCCUGCCGUCAGAGUUAGGUAGGGUGCACUGUAUCCACAGUAGCGGUAGCUGCACCUACCGCAUCCUUUUCCAUUUUUACCCUUCUAGUCUACGUUGCCACCUGUGGGUAACCCCUUGAAAGUAUAAAAGGAGGCCCAAGCGCAACGUAGAGGAGGGUCGGCCAGUUCGGCUCAUUGGAGAUACCAGAAACACUCCCACGCUCAGUCUGGUAGCGUCGAUCGCUCCUGAGCAAAGAUUCAAUACACACAAACAAGCAGCAGUAGGGUUUUACGCAUCCGUGCGGCCCGAAGCUGGGUAAAAUCCCCCCCGCGUGCACCGCCUCGAUCCGCUCUUUGUGCACUCUCCGCCUCCCACCGAACCGAAAGGGGCCCUGUCCCCAUAGGUGUUGGUGGAAUCAGCACCCCCCGACAGAUACGAACGGGAUAUUCCCGAUAGGAGAGGUUAUCUUGUAGAUCAAGCAUUUCGUGGUCCACUCCACGGAUGGGAUCCGCGAAGCAACGCCUCAGUUGAGAAACGUGGAAGACAUCAUGAACUCUGGAAAGAUGCGGAGGUAGUUCCAAUUGGUAGGCAACUUCUCCUUGUUUGGCAAGAAUGCGAAAGGGUCCAAUGUAACGAGGAGCCAAUUUGCCUUUGAUACCGAAACGAUGGGUUCCCUUUAACGGAGUAACCCGAAGGUAAGCCUUCUCGUCGACUUCAUAAGUCAUAGGCUUAUGUUUACGGUCAUAUUGACUCUUUUGACGAGAUUGGGCUGUUUUCAAUUUCUCACGAAUAACGCGAACCUGCUCUUCUACUUCCUGAAUCAUAUCCGGGCCAAAGAGUUGUCUUUCCCCGGUUUCUGACCAGUUAAGAGGUGUUCGACAUUUUUGUCCGUAGAGAAAUUCGAAAGGAGCCUUGCCCAAGAUGGCUUGAUAACUAUUGUUAUAAGCAAACUCCGCGAGUGGAAGGCAUUUCUCCCAACUUAUUCCGAACGAGAUGACAGAAGCUCGGAGCAUAUCUUCCAGAAUUUGAUUGACUCGCUCUACUUGACCACUUGAUUGAGGAUGGAAAGCGGUACUAAAAGAGAGACGAGUUCCCAUAGCAUUUUGGAAACUUUCCCAAAAUCGAGAGGUGAAGAGACUCCCACGGUCUGAGUUAAUUUCCAAUGGAACACCAUGAAGAGAUACUAUUCGGGAGAUGUAUAAAUCGGCUAGCUGGCUAGCGGUGAUACUCUCAUGAACAGGUAGAAAGUGGGCUACUUUGGAAAGACGUUCGACCACGACGAAGAUGGCAUUAUUCCCUCUCUUGGUCCUGGGAAACCCAGUGAUGAAAUCCAUACUGAUUUUAUCCCAUUUCCAUUCAGGAAUAGCCAAAGGUUGAAGGGUGCCAGCAGGCCGUUGGUGUUCUGCUUUAACACGACGACAGACAUCACAGCUAGCAAUGUAUUGAGCGAUUUCUCUCUUCAUCCUAGUCCACCAAAACCUCUGGCGUAGGUCUUGAUACAUUUUAGUACUACCGGGAUGAAUGGUGAGAGGGGAUUCAUGAGCUUCCUUAAGGAUCAACUGGCACAGAUGUUGUUUCUUGGGAACCACCAGACGGUUCUCGAAGAAGACAGCACCUUGCUCAUCCAUGGAGAAACAUUUAGCAACUCUGCUAGCGAUGUUUUCCUUAAUCCGGGAUAUGCCCUUAUCAUACCGUUGGGCGGUUAUGAUUUGAUCCAUAAGGGUAGGUUUCGCCACCAGGGUGGAAAGGAAUCCUCGAGGAACAAUGUGAAGAUUAAGCUUACGAAAUUCCUCAUGGAGAAGUGGUUGACUUUGUUGUAACAUCAGGUUGUUACAAUAGGACUUAUGGCUUAGCGCAUCAGCCAUGACAUUGGCUUUGCCCGGGGUGUAAGUUAUUCCUAAGUCAUAAUCCGAGAUCAACUCGACCCAACGUCUUUGCCUGAGAUUCAAAUCUGGUUGGGUGAAGAUAUAUUUCAAACUUUGGUGAUCGGUGAAGAUCUCGCAACGAUUACCGAGAAGGUAAUGUCGCCAGGUUUUAAGUGCAUGGACUACAGCUGCAAGCUCUAGAUCAUGUGUGGGAUAAUUUUCCUCAUGUGGGUGUAAUUGCCGUGAAGCAUAGGCAAUUACCUGACGAUCUUGCAUGAGUAUGCAACCUAAUCCUUGUCGCGAGGCGUCGCAAUAGAUAAUAAAGUCCUUGGAGAAGUCUGGUGGUACCAGUACGGGAGCAGAUGUCAGGCGUCUUUUCAGUUCCUGAAAGCUGAACUCGCAUUGUGGAGUCCACUCAAACUUUUUAUCUUUCUUGAGGAGUUCAGUUAGAGGUUUAGCAACCUUGGAGAAAUUCUCGACGACGCGGCGGCAAUAGCUCGCUAAGCCAAGGAAGCUCCGAACUUGCUUAACCGUCUUAGGUGGAGUCCAAUCAAGGACGGCUUGAACUCGCUCGGGAUUGACAGCAAUACCCUUGCUAGAGAUUACAUGGCCUAGAUAGGUCACUUCUGGUAACCAAAAUUCACACUUGGAGAAUUUGGCAUAAAGGUGAUGCUCUCGAAGUUUCAUCAACACCAGCCUUAGAUGUUCGGCAUGUUCCUCUUCAUUCUUGGAGUAGAUGAGUAUGUCAUCGAGGUAUACUACGACAAAUUUGUCCAAGUACUCCAUGAAAACCGAGUUCAUUAACCUAGAGAAGGUGGCUGGGGCAUUGGUUAAACCGAAGGACAUCACGGUGUAUUCGUAUUGGCCAUAACGAGUAACAAAGGCCGUUUGGGAAUGUCCCCGUUUCUGAUUUUGAUUUGAUGGUAGCCCAACCUCAAAUCCAUCUUGGAAGAGACUAAGGAUCCAGCGAGCUGAUCAUACAGAUCAUUGAUCCUGGGAAGCGGAUAUUUGUUCUUGAUGGUGACCAAAUUGACAGGUCGGUAAUCCACAACCAUUCGAUCCGUUCCAUCCUUCUUCUUGACGAAGAGGACGGGGCAAGCCCAAGGAGAGGAACUAGGACGGAUGAAACCCUUUUUCAAGGACUCAUCGAGUUGGUUCUUAAGCUCGGCUAGUUCUAAGGGUGCCAUCUUGUAGGGUCUUCUAGAAAUUGGCACGGUUCCUGGAACAAGGUCUAUCACAAACUCAACAUCCCUGUCAGGUGGAACACCUAGCAGUUCUUCUGGAAAGACAUUCGAAAAGUCUCGGACUACCGGAACAUCCUCAAGGUCUGGAAGGGGGUUGGCAUUUAGGGAGUAAAGUUGGCGCUUGGCCACUCGGGUUAAGACGUUAACUGUCUUGCCCGAGGGGUGAGUAAGUUGAACGGUUCUAGUGGCACAAUCGAUCUUAGCAUAAUGAGCUGACAUCCAGUCCAUACCCAAGAUGAUGUUUAUGUCCGAGGACUUGAGAGCUAUUAAGGAUGCAAGGAAGGCAAGCCUAUCGACAAGAAUUUUGCCAUCUAGAGCCAGGGGUUUGAAUUUCCAUGGUAGAGGGCAUGUCACAGAAUGUCGUGUUAUGCAAUCGAGCAUAGUUCUCGGAUAUGAAUGAAUGAGAUGCUCCAGUAUCGAAAAGAACAGAUGCCGGAUGGCAGUUAACAAGAAGCAUACCAAGGACGACGUUGGGAUCCUCAAGAGCCUCCUCGGCUGAAACAUAGUUGACAUGGCCACGUGCAGCGGUGGCCGGCUUGGCGUAGAAUGUUUUUCCCGCGGGCUUACCACGACCAACAGACUUUCCAGUUUGAUUGGGGUUGUUGUUCUGGGGACACUCUUGGCUAUAGUGACUCGGCUCUCCACACUUGAAGCAUGUCACCACAUUGGGGCGUGGAGCAGCAUUAGCAGCGGGGCCACCAUAGGGCUUGGGCGGUGCAAAUUGCUGGUUGGGACGAGGCGCCUCAAAGGAUGGCCUCGGGAUGAACCUGGGUGGCAGUGUCGUGCUUGGGAUCCACACCCGGCGCUUCUGAGCUCCAGAGCCGGAUGAAGAGCCAAAAUCACGGGAGUGCUUGCGUGAAGCGUCAUAAUCAGUCUGGCCUGUCUCAGCGCCGAUGGCUUUAUUGACCAGCUUUUGAAAGGAUGUGCACUUGUGCAGACGGAGAUCGCGGCGAAGCUCAGGGCUAAGUCCCUUGCGGAACCUUGCCUGCUUCUUAGCAUCAGUAGAAACCUCUUUAGGGGCAUAGCGUGCCAGAUUCCCAAAUUCACGACUAUAUGCAUCCACAGUCAGUCUUCCUUGGGUGAAGUUGCAGAACUCCUCCCUCUUGCGAUCCAUGAGACCUUCCGGAAUGUGAUGCUCACGGAAAGCCUCACUGAAUUCAGCCCAAGUAGUGAUUUGGCCGACCGGGCGCAUAGCUUCAAAGUUUUCCCACCAAAGGCUAGCAGGGCCUUCGAGGUGAUAGGCAGCAUAAGUAACCUUGUCGGCUUCGGCUACGUUGGCAGAACGUAGCUUGUGGGUGAUGCUGCGAAGCCAGGCAUCCGCGUCGAGGGGCUCGACGGAGUGGUUAAACUUUGGUGGGUACAGCUUGAUAAAGUCAUUGAUUGACACCAAGUCAUUUCGUGGGUGGCGUGCAGUGUUCUGCUCAAUCCGCUCCAGCAGGCGGUUGGUCUCAUGCUUGUUCUUUCCGCCUCCAGCAUUACUUCGGCUAGAGAAGGCGGGUGAGGCUGAUUUUCACCUCUAGCUGCACUGGCUUCCCCCUACUCCGAGGCAGCAGGGUUGCUGCGGGUGUUGACCAUCCUAGGAGAAAACAAGACAAUGGUUUAGAUAAGGAUGGCUCAAACUUAGCAAGGAAGUGUAGAAUGUAAUGGAUAGCACGGAAUGCAGAGAUGUUCAUCCGUAUGUCAUGGUAAUAUAAAACUGCCAUAUAUAUACCAACGGUCAUACACAUCAUACAUAGUUUAGUACAAGCCCAGGCUACAGUACAACUAUGAUGAAAGACGUUACAUCUCAUCGGAGGCAUUCCAAGCUCCUAUACAUUAUUUGUCUACACCUCCAGAAUCAAUUACACGCAAAGUCAUAUUCCACAAGUCACACAGGACAAUGGAGAUACAACUACUACAAUACUAGUGGUACUACUACUAACUCAGACAGCUCCGUAGUAGUUCUCAUAGAAGUCACCUCCAUAGCCUGGAAGUUCAACAUGACCAUCCGGAAAUAGACGGUCCUGAGGAGCCUGUGGACCACAGGGGCUAGGAUGAGGUCUUGGACCAACAAACGGUGGCCUGCGGGGACCACGGGGUGGGGUGAUGCCUCCCACAUCAUGCCAAUCCACCAUGUCUGGCAGAGCUGAUCUCACAGGAUAUAGAUCCCUUGUAUCCAUACAUCCAGCUUGCACCGCAGGUGCAAACUGAGUCAAUGUGGCCCAAUGAUCAGCACAGGUAUUGAAAAGCUCCAGCCUCAAGGCCCGAUUCUCUCGGUCCUUAUCUUCGAGCAUCUCGGCAGUGGUACGAGUUAAUGAGUCCUCCUGAGUGGAGUCAGCAUAGAUAGCUUGAAGAUACCCUUGCGCUCCCGGAAGUGAAGCUGGCAUGUAACAGAAGUCGGUGUUCCGAAGUAGGCCAGUCCGGACUCGCAAGAUGGUCAUCAUGGAAUAGGCAGCAUCCUGCACAGCCAUCUCAACAGUUACCCCGAGUCCAUAGGAACAGUGAAGGGGCUCGGUAGAUCCAGGAUAAGAAGGAAAUAUCCUGAUGGUGCAGAGAUAUUGGCUUUGAUUAAAGUCGCGGAACUGCUCUUCGAUGGUGUAUUCGGGAUACCAAUGGUAACCCGUCUCGAUCAUGACCCGGACUAACAUAGCAGUAUGACUGGGCAUGUCGAGGCACCGGGUCAGGCGAACCACUUGGUUUUGAGCAUGGUUGGCCAUCUGAAAGCACAACCACAAUGCAAAGACAUCAGAAUUUCUAGGGAAAAUUGGACAACAUAACAACUAUAAUGCUCAGAAAAAAGAUUUGAGACAUCCACAACAGUUCGCAAUACCACUCAACAACAUCAUAUCAAAAUUCUGAUCCAAUUAGCAACAUACUAGGAAUAGUAGAAACUGAACUAGAACUUGUAGCAUCAAUCCUAUAAGGUACUACGGAUUAGUAACACGUGAACCUGAUAGAAGAAGAGAGCCUAGUCCUUAACCCACGUUGAAUGAGAAGAGAAUGACUCAGAUCAGAGGUAUAGGGUAAAGGAGUAAAAGAGCCUUACGUUCCCUUCCACAAUCAAUUCCCCUACAUAUAACUAAAGCAUUUCUAGACUCGACAUCGACCAGUUUGGCUCAACAAACCUACAGGCAGUCCGGCUCUGAUGCCAACGCUGUCAGGACCCCGAUUCCAAGUCACAUCGAUCUAGCCGGUAACACCUCAUAUCACUUUGCGGCCUCACGCACGGUAUCCCAUGGGUGUCGCCUUACCAUGGCCUGGGACCGUUUGCGCCUUUUGGAUCACGUAUAUGAUAGUGUCGCUAGCAUCCAUAUGACAGAGAACCCGGGCCGACAUGGCUAGUCGUGAACCCAAAGCGGCACAGACCUAUGGAGACGGGCAUACAUGUAUCACAUCGAGCAUGUCGGUCAUCAGCGAGUGAUUCCGGGCUGUAACACUAGGCUAACAGGACUUCGGGGAACCCGGGCUGUAGCAGGCUAGGCAGGACUCCGGAUAUCAUUGCGUGACAUUUCCCCGAAGGGACAGACAUAGGAACGAAGUGAAACACAUGCCGGCCAGUCAAGUGUCCUGAACAGUAGUGCUGGGCUAGCAGGACUCCGGUGAACCGGGCUGUAGCGGACUACUAUGGCUCGAGGAACACUAGACUACAUUUCCCCAUAAGAAAGGCUUCCAAGGAUAAACAACUAGAUUGUCGGAUCCCACUCAUACCAAGCAUUUCAAUCAUACACACAAUAUGCCCGAUAUGAGUACAUACAACAUGGCAUCACAACAAAACUCUACAACUCAAGUACUUUAUUUAAAGGCUCCAGAGAGCCAUACAUAACAUGUUCAUAUAGAUAGGGGUCACAUGACCCGACACUCAAGUCAUACAAACAUACAAGCACAUGCGGAAGCAACUAGUCCGAGUACAGACUCUAUAAAGAAAGAAGGCUUCUCGAAGCCUGACUAUCUACAUAGGGCCCGCCAUGGCCAGGAUCACCACCUGGGUGGCUAGUCACUCGUCGACGUCAAGGUCUACGUAGAACCCAUCGGAGUGGGCGGUGUCCUCUGAAACAGUAAUUAAGCAAACAUGAGUACAAAGGUACUCAGCAAGUCUUACAUCAGAACCUACUAUACAUGCUUAUUCUCAAGAAGGUGGUGGGGUUAAUGCAGCAAGCCAGCUUUGACUCUUGGCUAAGCUAUCCUACGGAACUUCACCAGUAAAAUAGUUUUCGCACACGAGUCCACUACUCACCAACACAAUACUCCACCAUGGAUCCUCCCUCGUCAUCCUACGAGAGGGCCAUCCUCGAUACUCACACUUAUCUUGAGUCUUUUAGUAGUGUCCAUUAACUUUUCUAUGAACUGUAUAGGCAACCAAGUAGUCCUUUACCGCGGACGCGGCUAUUCGAAUAGUUUUAUACCCUGCAGGGGUGUACUUCUUCAUACACGCUUUCACCACUUACCGCCGCUUACACGACAUGUACUCGGCAACCUUCAAGCGGAAGCCCAGCGAGGGUGUUGGCCACGGCCUACCUAAACACUUAAGUCUCUAGUCCAGGUUUAUUGCCUAUCCAGGUUCCAUCCGCAGGGAGUCCGGCCGAGGUUUCCACAUACGGCCCCAAACGAUGUGAACAGGGUCCCGAGACGCCAAACGGGGACCCGGCAUACCUGGCCAUGGUGUAUCUACCGCAACAUAGCCCACCCCUAGGGUCAGCGCUACGCACGGCCGCCAACACAUAACCUACAAACACCAGAAACUAUUUGCAACUCCUAGACAGAGUACUAGGGUGAUUAAGAAGCCGAGAGGGUCAAUUAAGGAUCCCAAUGCAUGGUAGUAGCUGAAUCUUAAAAUCACACAUACAUAUCUCAGUUCUUAGGGACGGCCUCAAUGAAACAACCCACCAUGUACUCCUACAUGGCCUCUCAUCAAUACCUUUACCAAAACAUGUUCAACGCAUCCCUCACAUUACCGACAUAAGCAUUUCACUCUAGCCCAUCACCCAGAUGAACCAGACCUGACACAACGCUAAGCAUAGCAGGCAUAGCAAGGUAGGAAUCACAUACAUGGCUCAAUCAACUCCUACACAUGCUAGUGGGUUUCAUCUAGUUACUGUGGCAAUGACAGGUCAUGCAGAGGAUAAGGGUUCAACUACCGUAGCACACAACAGUUUGAAUCGCGUUGUCUUAAUGCAGUAAACAAGAGCAGAAGCGAGAACAUGGGUUUGUAUCGGAAUGAUCAAUGGUUGCUUGCCUGAUGGAGUGGUAGCGGAAUACUGCCCUUCAGUUGGAUACUCGUGAAUAUCCUCGGAGGCAGAACCUACCACGAAGAACACAUCGGAGCACAAUCAACACAUGACGAUAUGCAACAAUAUGAUGCAUGCUAUGACAUGGCAAUAUGAAUGUGUCUUGGCCUAAUGCAAGUUAUAAUAGAGAGGAAUGAACUCAUUUGAAUCAAAGAUUCAAAUAUUAGCUCAUUAAACAUGGCCUUAAUAGUGCAUUUCCUUAUUAUGCUUAAACAGCAAGGUAAACUUGUUUUGUCAUGCAUGAAACCAUUACAGAUGGAUAGAUUGAAUUUUUCUGAUCAUUUUUCAUAUAUAAUUCUUUGCAUUUGGAGCUAUGGUUGAUUUUCUAUGAUUUUUAGAAGUUUUGACUAUUUUCUGGAAUUUCCUGAAUAAAAUUAAAUCCAGAAAAUGCAUUACUGCGUCAGCAUUGCGUCAUGCUGACCUCAGCAGGUCAAAGGCGCCAGCCUAGGUCAAACCUGACUGGUGGGCCCCUUUUGUCAGCCUCUCAGUGCACUAACUACAUUUAGUUAGCCUAAUUACUGGGCAGGGCCCACUAGUCAGUGACUAUACUAAUUAAACUAACUAAUUUUAGUUAGAAACUAAUCUGGAUAAUUAGCAGAGGGGGGGCCCACUUGUCAUUGACUCAAAGGAGUCAACCUGGGCCCACCCAGUCCACGUCAGUGGUCAAACCACCGGUCAACAGGGCUAAUCCCGCCGGCGUUGAGUCGCCGGCGAGGCCGAGACGGCGGAGGGCUUCGAAAAAUGCCCUCAGGCGACCAAAUCAACGGCGAAGACCAUCUACGGGUAGCUGGGAAUGAGCCGCAGCGUUUGGGGGUGGUAGUUGGGCUCGGGGUGGCCGGAACCGUCGCCGGCGACGAGCUUGGCGGUCGCCGGAGUCGGGUGAGGACGGUUUCGACGCUACGGUGCAUGGGAGGAAGAGCUGGUGGUGGCUAUGGGUUCCUGGUGCUGCACUGAGCACGGUGAGGCGCUCCGUUGUGAGCUUGCACGGCUGUGGCCAUGGCUACGCCAUGGCCGACGGCGGGGAGCUCUCGAGUGCGGUGGAAAAUGGAGCUAGGGGACGAGCGCGAGCACGAGAGAAGAGGGAAAAGGAAGAGGAGCUCACAGUGGGGUCGGAGAGGGGGUCAGCGAGCUCGGGGAGGUCCUAGCGGUGGCGAAUCGACCGAAGAUGGCUCGGGUGCCCGAGGUUGAAGACGAGGGUGAAGGCGGUGAUGCAGGGCCUCCGGCGAUGCGUGGCUCGGUGGGGAGGACGAGGGAGUCGAGGCGGAGCUAAUGGGCUCGUCGGAGGGGCGAGGGAGUGGCUGUGGUGGCAACUAUGGCGAUCGGCAGCGAGGUACGCACUCGGCCGUCGCGGGAGAGAAAGAGGGAGACGAGGGGGAGAGUGAGAGAGGAUGAGAGGGAGACGUGGGGGUCGCAUGGCGUCCUCUGGGCGUCUCCCAGCGUCGGCAGAAGCAGGACGUGGCCGGCGCGUGGCCGGCACGCGGAGAGCACGCGCCCCGCGUCCUUCUGGCGUGAGGAGGACGACGACUGGCAGCGCCAGCAGGCUAGGCCGAGCCAGGUGGCUGGGCCAGGACAGGUAAGGCCCAGGUGGGCUUCUUUCUCCUCUUUUUUUAUUUAGUUUCCGUUUUCUAUUUAACUGCAACUGUUGGGCUUUAAAUAAAAUAAUAAAACAUUUCCAAAAAUCCUGAAAAUAAAUGUGGCCUCUGUUUAGAUUAUUUCCAACAGGAAACAUUUAUUCCCAGAAUUAUUUGAGCAUUUAGAUUAUUUUAUAGCAUUUAAAUGCCCAAAUUCAAAUACUUAUGAUUUAAUUCAAUGACCUUCUGUUGACCUAGAAAAUUGUGCACCAAUUUUGCCAGAGGUUCUAACCUAAGACAAAGAGGGUGAACUUUUUAGAAGGGCAUUUCAGGUUCAUUAAAAAUAAUUUUAGCAAACCCUAGUUGUUUCCAGGGGGGUGUUGGGUGUUCUGUCAUCCCCAUUUCAAAUUUAAGAGAAAAAUAGACAUGAUGCACAUUCUAAUGCUUGAACUAGCUAGGGUGUGACAACCGAUGUGCCAGGUGUCGUCCAGUUAUUCGCUCUUGUUUCCUUGUCAUUGCUUGCAUGUCAUGCAUUGCAUAUCAUGUCAUCAUGUGCAUUUCAUUUGCAUAUGUGUUCGUCUCAUGCAUCCGAGCAUUUUCCCCGUUGUCCGUUUUGCAUUCCGGCGCUCCUAUCUCCUCCGGUGCCCCUUUCUACCUUCCUUUCGUGUGUGGGGGUUAAACAUUUCCGGAUUGGACCGAGAAUUGCCAAGCGGCCUUGGUUUACUACCGGUAGACCGCCUGUCAAGUUUCGUACCAUUUGGACUUCGUUUGAUGCUCCAACGGUUAACCGAGGGACCGAGAAGGCCUUGUGUGUGUUGCAGCCCAACACCUCUCCAAUUUGGCUCAAAACCCACCUAAAACUUUUCCAUCAUCUCGGUCGUUCGAUCACGAUCGCGUGGCCGAAAACCGCACCUCAUUUGGACUCUCCUAGCUCCCUCUACCUAUAAAUAUGUGCUCCCCUCCCGAAAUUUGCGGAUGAACCCUAGCCUUCUUCCACCUCCCGCCGCCGGAUGUGUCCGUCCCGGACCGGACGUGUCCACACCACCGUCCCCGGCGAAUCCCGCGCCGCCACGUCACCCUCUCUCUCUUUCCCCGCUGCCGCAGCCCACCGGACCCAGAUCCGGCCCGCCCGGGCCGAACCGGGCCGCACCCGAGCCGCCGCCCGCGCAUGGAGNNNNNNNNNNNNNNNNNNNNNNNNNNNNNNNNNNNNNNNNNNNNNNNNNNNNNNNNNNNNNNNNNNNNNNNNNNNNNNNNNNNNNNNNNNNNNNNNNNNNNNNNNNNNNNNNNNNNNNNNNNNNNNNNNNNNNNNNNNNNNNNNNNNNNNNNNNNNNNNNNNNNNNNNNNNNNNNNNNNNNNNNNNNNNNNNNNNNNNNNNNNNNNNNNNNNNNNNNNNNNNNNNNNNNNNNNNNNNNNNNNNNNNNNNNNNNNNNNNNNNNNNNNNNNNNNNNNNNNNNNNNNNNNNNNNNNNNNNNNNNNNNNNNNNNNNNNNNNNNNNNNNNNNNNNNNNNNNNNNNNNNNNNNNNNNNNNNNNNNNNNNNNNNNCCGCGCAUGGAGCGCUCGACGCCGCCGCCUGGCUCCAGGGCCGCGCCGCCCGCCAGCUCCUCGCCGUCACCGACGAGUUCGCCGGUGCCCUGCUCCUCCGCCGCCAUGCUUCAUCCCCGCCGGCCACCGCACCUCUCGCCGGAGGGAGCUGAACUCCGGCGAGCUCCCUCGCCGGAAGGCGCCGCCUCAUCCUCCCUCGCCGGCACGCCUCCUCCGAGCUCCCUCGUCCACUCCGGCGCCUCUUUGACGUGAACUCCGGCCAGAUCCGCCGCCGCUUUGAUAACCGUGCAAACCCUAGAUCUCGCGGGGUGAGAAUUCCACUAAGUCCCCGAGCUUUCCAGUUUCAAAUGCCCAUGUUCAUUGCAUCGUAACUUUGUAUCCGUAGCUCUGAUUCAUGCGUGUAGCAUAACAAAAUGUUCGUCUCAGAUAGUGCAUCAUUUCAUCUCAUUGCAUCAUUUUCAUUUGAGCUCAUCUUGAGGCCCGAAAUGCUGUUGGAAGAAUGCUAUUUGAUUUAAUUGUCAGAUCUGCUGCUCCAAAUAGCUAUUUGUCAUUUUUGCCAUGAUUAAUGUGUGCAUGAUAUGCCCCUGAGCUCUACAUGAGUUUUGUUAUAUGCUUUGUCAUCUUUCCAUAGGUGCCAUCCAUGUAUUUUUGUGAUGUGUGUGGUGACAAGCACAAACUUGCCAAGUGAUGCAUUCGUUAAUGCUGAUUUCGGGGACUUAGCAAUUUCACUAAGUACUUGAUCUGUUUUUAUCAAUAUGCCAUAUGUUCAUGUUGUUUCCUAGUGAUCCGUGCCUCUUUUGAGGAUGAUCAGCAAGGAUGAUUUGUUAAUCUUGUAGUGCUCUAUCCAUCCAUGUCUUUGUUUGCAAUUAUGGAGCACCCUAGCUUGAGUCAAUCAAGCUCUACUUUUGCUAUUUCGUGAAUCUGGGCAGAUUGUCUACUUGUUAGCGAUUUUGCCGAGGAUAUUGUUGUUGAUCCGUGCAUGCUAUAUUGUUGUUCUUGCCAUGUCUAGCUGAUAUAAUGUGUAUUCUUAAUGGGUGUAUGCUUAGUUUGUCAUGCCUUGCUCUGUAGUGAGUGCAUCGAGCUCGUAAACAUGCCUACUUGCUAUCAUAUUUGCAUGCUCCAGUUUUUCUCUAAGUCUGUGAUCUGUUUAUGUUUUGCCAUGUUCACAUGCUUGCAAUUGUAUUUUCUGAUCCCUUUUGGCUCAAGGUCACUAAGGGACUUUUGUUAAGCUCUUUGAGUAGCUUCAUGCCAUGCCUUGCUUUGCCAUGUUAAGUUCCUGUAGCAUCUAGUUUUUAUGCUCCAAAGUGUGCUACCUGAUCUGAAAUUCCAGGCUUGUGUGAAUUUCACUAAGUCUGAAACCUGUUUACCAAUUGCACUUUUGCCAUGCUUGUUUGAACCUGUUAAUGGAUGAUUACCUUCCUUAUGAGUGGCGGUCGGGGACGAGCGAUGGUCUUUUCCUACCAAUCAUCCCCCUAGGAGCAUGAACGUAGUGCUUGGUUUUGAUGAAUUUUAGAUUUUUGCAAUAAGUAUGUGAGUUCUUUAUGACUAAUGUUGAGUCCAUGGAUUAUACGCACUCUCACCCUUCCAUCAUUGCUAGCCUCUUCGGUUCUGUGCAUUGCCCUUUCUCACCUCGAGAGUUGGUGCAAACUUUGCCGGUGCAUCCAAACCCCGUGAUAUGAUACGCUCUAUCACACAUAAGCCUCCUUACAUCUUCCUCAAAACAACCACCAUACUUACCUAUCAUGGCAUUUCCAUAGCCAUUCUGAGAUAUAUUGCCAUGCAACUUCCAUCAUCAUCAUAUACAUGACUUGAGAAUUUAUUGUCAUAUUGCUUUGCAUGAUCGUAAGAUAGCUAGCAUGAUGUUUUCAUGGCUUGUCCGUUUUUUGAUGUCAUUGCUAUGCUAGAUCAUUGCACAUCCCGGUACACCAUCGGAGGCAUUCAUAUAGAGUCAUACUUUGUUCUAGACAUCGAGUUGUAAGUAAAUAAAAGUGUGAUGAUCAUCAUUAUUAGAGAAUGCAUUGCCCCAGUGAGGAAAGGAUGAUGGAGACUAUGAUUCCCCCACAAGUCGGGAUGGGACUCCGGACUUUAAAAAAAUAAAUAAAAGAGGCCAAAGAAGCCCAUAUAAAAAAAGAGGCCAAAGAAGCCCACCAAAAAAACAAAAAAAAUUGAGAGAAAAAUAUAGAAGGGGCAAUGUUACUAUCCUUUUACCACACUUGUGCUUCAGAGUAGCACCAUGUUCUUCAUAUAGAGAGUCUCUUGAGCUAUCACUUUCAUAUACUAGUGGGAAUUUUCAUUAUAGAACAUGGCUUGUAUAUUCUGAUGAUGGGCUUCCUAAAAUGCCCGAGGUCUUCAUGAGCAAGCAAGUUGGAUGCACACCCACUCAGUUUCCAGUUUGAGCUUUCAUACACUUAUAGCUCCUAGUGCAUCCGUUGCAUGGCAAUCCCUACUCCUUGCAUUGACAUCAAUUGAUGGGCAUCUCCAUAGCCCGUUGAUUAGCAGCAUCGAUGUGAGACUUUCUUUUUUUCUUUUUGUCUUCUCCACACAACCUCCAUCAUCAUAUUCUAUUCCACCUAUAGUGCUAUGUCCAUGGCUCGCGCUCAUAUAUUGCGUGAAGGUUGAAAAGGUUUGAAAAGACUAAAGUAUGAAACAAUUGCUUGGCUUGUCAUCGGGGUUGUGCAUGAUCGGAGCAUUUGUGUGACGAAAAUGAAGCAUAGCCAAACUAUAUGAUUUCGUAGGGAUGAGCUUUCUUUGGCUAUGUUAUUUUGAGAAGACAUAAUUGCUUGGUUAGUAUGCUUGAAGUAUUAUUGUCUUAAUGUCAAAUGAUAGACUAUUGCUUUGAAUCACUCGUGUCUUAAUAUUCAUGCCAUGAUUAGAUUACAUGAUCAAGAUUAUGCUAGGUAGCAUUCCACAUCAAAAAUAAUCUUUUUUAAUCAUUUACCUACUCGAGGACGAGCAGGAAUUAAGCUUGGGGAUGUUGAUACGUCUCCGUCGUAUCUAUAAUUUUUGAUUGUUCCAUGCCAAUAUUAUACAACUUUCAUAUACUUUUGGCAAAUUUUUCUACUAUUUUUGGGGACUAACAUAUUGAUCCAGUGCCCACUGCUAGUUCCUGUUUGUCGCAUGUUUUUUGUUUCGCAGAAAAUCCAUAUCAAAUGGAGUCCAAAUGGGAUAAAAACCGACGGAGUUUUUUUGGAAUAUAUUUGAUUUUUGGGAAGAAGAAUCAACACGAGACGAUGCCCGAGGGGGCCACGAGGGAGGGGGCGCGCCCCUGGCCCUCGUGGCCACCGCAUAAGGCGGUUGGUGCCCUUCUUUCGCCGCAAGAAAGCAAAUAUCCGGAUAGAAACCGUGUUAAAAUUUCAGCCCAAUCGGAGUUACGGAUCUCCGGGAAUAUAAGAAACGGUGAAAGGCCAGAAUCUGGAACGCAGAAACAGAGAGAGGCAGAGAGACAGAUCCAAUCUCGGAGGGGCUCUCGCCCCUCCGCCGCCAUGGAAGCUAUGGACCAGGGGGUAAACCCUUCUCCCAUCUAGGGAGAAGGUCCAGGAAGAAGAAGAAGAAGAAGAAGAAGAAGAAGAAGAAGGGGGGAUCUCUCCCCCUCUCUCCCGGUGGCGCCGGAACGCUGCGGGGGCCAUCAUCGUGCGAUGGCAAUCUACUCCAACACCUCCGUCAUCUUCACCAACAUCUCAUCACCUUCCCCCAUCUACCUAUAGCGGUCCACUCUCCCGCAACCCGCUGUACCCUCUACUUGAACAUGGUGCUUUAUGCUUCAUAUUAUUAUCCAAUGAUGUGUUGCCAUCCUAUGAUGUCUGAGUAGAUUUUCGUUGUCCUAUCGGUAAUUAGUGAAUUGGUAUGAUUGGUUUAAUUUGCUUGUGGUUAUGUUGAUGUCCUUUGGUGCCCAUCAUAUGAGCGCGCGCGUGGAUCACACCAUAGGGUUAGUUGUAUGUGGAUAGGAGUAUGUAUUGGAGGGCAAGAGUGACAUAAGCUUCAACUUAGCAUAGAAAUUGAUGCAUACAUGAUUGAAGGGGGACCAAUAUAUAUUAAUGCUAUGGUUGGGUUUUACCUUAAUGAAUGUUAGUAGUUGCGGAUGCUUGCUAAUAGUUCCAAUCAUAAGUGCAUAGAAUUCCAAGUCAGGGAUGACAUGCUAGCAGUGGCCUGUCCCACAUAAAACUUGCUAUCAGUCUAGUAAAGUAGUCAAUUGCUUAGGGACAAUUUCUCAAUGCCUACCACCACUUUUCCACACUUGCUAUACUAACUUUAUUGCUUCUUUACCUAAAACAGCCCCUAGUUUUUAUUUACGUCCUCUUUAUAUUCUUGGAAACCUACCCAACAACACCUACAAAGUACUUUUAGUUUCGUACUUGUUUUUAGGUAAAGCGAACGUUAAGCGUGCGUAGAGUUGUAUCGGUGGUCGAUAGAAAUUGAGGGAAUAUUUGUUCUACCUUUAGAUCCUCGUUGGGUUCGACACUCUUACUUAUCGAUAGAGGCUACAAUUGAUCCCCUAUACUUACUAAAUAUAUGUUCCGAGUUUAUGGAGGUGAGGAAAAGCUCGUCGUAAGGGGUUACGUCGAUGCUAGUUUCCAAACCGACAGAUAUGAUUGUCGAUCAGAGUCCGGAUUCGUGUAUGUCAUGAACGGAGGAGAAGUGACCUGGAUGAGUUCCAAGCAAGAUACGGUGGCUGAUUCUACCAUAGAAGCCGAAUACAUUACGGCUUGUGAAGCUGCAAAGGAAGGUGUUUGGAUCCAGAACUUUCUGGAUGAUCUUGGUAUUUUCCCAGCCUCGAUAAAGCAGUUGGACCUCUAUUGUGAUAAUUCUGGUGCCAUCGCACAAGCCAAGGAGCCAAGGGAUCACCACAAGACCAUGUGUUAUGCAAAAUUCACACGGAUGCAAAUGCUGCAGAUCCAUUGACUAAGCCGCUUCCACAAUCCAAGCGUGAGGGCACGUUAGAGCUAUGGGCAUUUGAUAUCUAUUUGAUUGAAUCUAGUGCAAGUGGGAGACUGUUGGAGAUAUGCCCUAGAGGCAAUCAUGUAUAAUGAUAUUUGCUAUGUGUUUAUGAAUAAAGGUACUCCUUGGACAUUAUCAAUGAUGUGUAUUGAUACGUCUCCAACGUAUCUCUAAUUUUUGAUUGCUCCAUGCUAUAUUAUCUACUGUUUUGGACAUUACUGGGCUUUAUUAUCCACUUUUAUAUUAUUUUUGGGACUAACCUAUUAACCGGAGGCCCAGCUCAGAAUUGCUGUUUCUUUUGCCUAUUUUAGGGUUUCGAAGAAAAGGAAUAUCAAACGAAGUCCAAACGGAAUGAAACCUUCGGGAACAUGAUUUUCUCAACAAAUAAGACCAGAGAGACUUGGACCCUACGUCAAGAAAAUAAACAGGAGGCCACAGGCACGCCCUCCACCCUCGUGGGCCCCCUGUUGCUCCACCGACGUACUCCUACCUCCUAUAUAUAUCCACGUACCCCCAAACGAUCAGAUACGGAGCCAAAACCCUAAUUCCACCGCCACAACUAUCUGUAUGCAUGAGAUCCCAUCUUGGGGCCUGUUCCGAAGCUCCGCCGGAGGGGGCAUCGAUCACGGAGGGCUUCUACAUCAACACCAUAGCCCCUCCGAUGAAGUGUGAGUAGUUUACCUUAGACCUACGGGUCCAUAGUUAGUAGCUAGAUGGCUUCUUCUUUCUUUUUGGAUCUCAAUACAACGUUCUCCCCCUCUCUUGUGGAGGACUAUUCGAUGUAAUCUUCUUUUUGUGGUGUGUUUGUUGAGACCGAUCAAUUGUGGGUUUAUGAUCAAGUCUAUCUAUGAAUGACAUUUAAAUCUUCUCUGAAUUCUUUCAUGUAUGAUUGGUUAUCUUUGCAAGUCUCUUCGAAUUAUCAGUUCGGUUUGGCCUACUAGAUUGAUCUUUCUUGCAAUGGGAGAAGUGCUUAGCUUUGGGUUCAAUCUUGCGGUGUCCUUUCCCGGUGACAGUAAGGGCAGCAAGGCACAUAUUGUAUUGUUUCCAUCGAGGAUAACAAGAUGGAGUUUUCUUCAUAUUGCAUGAGUGUUGAUGCAGGCAGGAGUCGGUCUACUUGUCUCGGACGUGAUGCCUAUAUACAUGAUCAUACCUAGAUAUUCUCAUAACUAUGCUCAAUUCUGUCAAUUGCUCAACAGUAAUUUGUUCACCCACCGUAGAAUACUUAUGCUCUCGAGAGAAGCCACCAGUGAAACCUAUGGCCCCCGGGUCUAUCUUUAUCAUAUUGAUAUCUUACUACUUAGUUAUUUCCUUUGCUAUUUACUUGCCUUUAUUUUACUUUGCAUCUUUUAUCAUAAAAAUACCAAAAAUCUUAUCUUAUCAUAUCUAUCAGAUCUCACUCUCGUAAGUGGCCCUAUAGGGAUUGACAACCCCUAUUUGCGUUGGUGGCGAGGAUUUAUUUGUUUUGUGCAGGUACGAGGGACUCGCGCGUAGCCUCCUACUGGAUUGAUACCUUGGUUCUCAAAAACGUAGGGAAAUACUUACGCUACUUUGCUGCAUCAACCCUUCCUCUUCGGGGAAAACCAACGUAGUGCUCAAGAGGUAGCAAGAAGGAUUUCUGGUGCCGUUGCCGGGGAGGUCUACGCAAAAUUCAACAUACCAAGUACCCAUCACAUACCCUUAUCUCCCGCAUUACAUUAUUUUCCAUUUGCCUCUCGCUUUCCUCUCCCCCCACUUCACCCUUGCCGUUUUAUUCACCCUCUGUCUCUCUAUCCUCCCUCUCUAUUUGCCUCUUUUUGCCCGCUUUCUUUCUGUGUCUUUCUUUCUGUGUGUUAGUUUGUUUGCUUGUCGUUAUGGCUAGUCCUUUAUCUUCUUCGUUAUCUCCUGAUAAUGAAAUUCUAAAUUUUAAGCAAAGGGAGGGAGAAAAUCUAAAAGAUGCUUGGUAUAGAAUUUGCAAUGCUCAAAAUAGAUCUACUAGGAAUCAAUCUACUUCCAUUCUUCUUCGCAAUUUUUAUGUAGGCAUUACUCCUUGGCACCGUUAUGUUCUUGAUACUAUUACCGGAGGGAACUUUUUGGGUAGCCAUACUUUUGAUUCUUAUAAUGCUAUGUUAGAUUUAUUUGGCUCACCCCCUCUCUUGGUUAAUGGAACUAUAUUAACUUUGGAGCAUGUAAUGCAAAGGCUUGAGAUUAUUGAAAAUAAGGUUGCUACCGUAGAGUUAAUUGAAAAUUUGGAUAAAAAGAUCCACAGCUGAAUCUCUCAAUAUGGAUCUAAAGUAGGAGUUACUUUGAAAGAUAUUAAAGAAAAGGAACCCAUAGUUAAUGAGAAAAUAAAUCACGAUUCCGUUAGAAUCGAUAAACUUGAGAAUAUUAUUACCAACUUGGGAACCGCUUUUUCUUCCGUAAAGAAUACUCCAAGUCCUUCCACUAAAGUUGCCAAGCUUAUGUACGUUCCUAAAAAUAAGGGUGAAUCCUCUAGUAAGGAUGCGGAUCUCAAAUCUAUAAGUAUUCAUCCCAAUCUUUUUGCUAUCAUUAAGGAACCAUUUGUCACAAAUGAAUUUUUCGAUCUUGUGCCUAAAAGUUUGAUAAUUAAUAAAAAGAAAGAAAUUCCUAAAGAUGGUAGAUGCCUCAUCGAAGAAUUGCCUACCAAAGAUGGCAACACCUAGAUCUAUUCUUGCUUGUUAUGCCUAGCUAGGGGCGUUAAACGAUAGCGCUUGUUGGGAGGCAACCCAAUUUUAUUUUUAUUACUUGAUUUCUGCUCCUGUUUAGUAAUAAAUAAUUUAUCUAGCCUCUGCUUUGGUUGUGUUUUUUGUGUUUAAUUAGUGUUUGUGCCAAGUAGAACCGUUGGGAAGACUUGGGGAAAGUCUUGUUGAACUUGCUGUAAAAAACAGAAACUUUAGCGCUCACGAGAACUGCUGCCAUUUUUAUUUGAGAGUGCUAUUUAGUUAAUUAUUUUUGCAGAUGAUUAAUAGACAAAUUCCUCACGUCCAGCAAUUUAUUUUAGAAUUUUUGGGGUUCCAGAUCUUGCGCUAGCUACAGAUUACUACAGAUUGUUCUGUUUUUGAUAGAUUCUGUUUUUCGUGUGUUGUUUGCUUAUUUUGAUGAAUCUAUGGCUAGUAAAAUAGUUUAUAAACCAUAGAGAAGUUGGAAUACAGUAGGUAUAACACCAAUAUAAAUAAAGAAUGAGUUCAUUACAGUACCUUGAAGUGGUCUUUUGUUUUCUUUCGCUAACGGAGCUCAUGAGAUUUUCUACUUUAAGUUUUGUGUUGUGAAGUUUUCAAGUUUUGGGUAAAGAUUUGAUGGAUUAUGGAACAAGGAGUGGCAAGAGCCUAAUCUUGGGGAUGCCCAUGGCACCCCCAAGAUAAUCUAAGGACACCUAAAAGCCAAAACUUGGGGAUGCCCUGGAAGGCAUCCCCUCUUUCGUCUACUUCUAUCGGUAACUUUACUUGGAGCUAUAUUUUUAUUCGCCACAUGAUAUGUGUUUUGCUUGGAGCGUCUUGUAUUAUUUGAGUCUUUGUUUGUUAGUUUACCACAAUCAUCCUUGCUGUACACACCUUUUGAGAGAGCCAUAUAUUAUUUGGAAUUUGUUAGAAUACUCUAUGUGCUUCGCUUAUAUCUUUUGAGUUAUAUAAUUUUGCUCUAGUACUUCACUUAUAUCUUUUAGAGCACGGUGGUGGAUUUGUUUUAUAGAAACUAUUGAUCUCUCAUGCUUCAAUUAGAUUAUUUUGAGAGUCUUAAAUAGCAUGGUAAUUUGCUUAAAAUCCUAAUAUGCUUGGUAUAUAAGAUUAAUAAUAAAAACUUUCUUAUGAGUGUGUUGAAUACUAUGAUAAGUUUGAUACUUGAUAAUUGUUAUGAGAUAUAAAGAUGGUGAUAUUAAAGUUGUGCUAGUUGAGUAGUUGUGAAUUUGAGAAAUACUUGUGUUGAAGUUUGUGAUUCCCAUAGCAUGCACGUAUGGUGAACCGUUAUGUGAUGAAGUCGGAGCAUGAUUUAUUUAUUGAUUGUCUUCCUUAUGAGUGGCAGUCGAGGAUGAGCGAUGGUCUUUUCCUACCAAUCUAUCCCCCCUAGGAGCAUGCGCGUAAUACUUUGCUUUGAUAACUUGUAGAUUUUUGCAAUAAGUAUAUGAGUUCUUUAUGACUAAUGUUGAGUCCAUGGAUUAUACACACUCUCACCCUUCCACCUUUCCUAGCCUCUCUAAUACCGCACACCUUUCGCCGGUAUCAUACACCCACCAUACCUACCUAUUAUGGCAUUUCCAUAGCAAUUGCGAGAUAUAUUGCCAUGCAACUUUCCACUGUUCCGUUUAUUAUGACACACUCCAUCAUUGUCAUAUUGCUUAGCAUGAUCAUGUAGUCGACAUCGUAUUUGUGGCAAAGCCACCAUUCAUAAUUAUUUCAUACAUGUCACUCAUGAGUCAUUGCAUAUCCCGGUACACCGCCGGAGGCACUCAUAUAGAGUCAUAUUUUGUUCUAAGUAUCGAGUUGUAAUUGUUGAGUUGUAAGAAAAAUAAAAGUGUGAUGAUCAUCAUUAUUAGAGCAUUAUCCCAGUGGGGAAAGGAUGAUGGAGACUAUGAUUCCCCCACAAGUCGGGAUGAGACUCCGGACGAAAAAUAAAAAAAGAGAAAAAAGAAAAGAGGCCAUAAAAAGGAGAAAAGGCCCAAAUAAAAAAAUGAGCGAAAAAGAGAGAAGGGACAAUGCUACUAUCCUUUUACCACACUUGUGCUUCAAAGUAGCACUAUGAUCUUCAUAGUAGAGAGUCUCUCAUGUUAUCACUUUCAUAUACUAGUGGGCAUUUUUCAUUAUACAACUUGGCUUGUAUAUUCCAAUGAUGGGCUUCCUCAAAAUGCCCUAGGUAUUCAUGAGCAAGCAAGUUGGAUGCACACCCACUUAGUUUCUUUUUGAGCUUUCAUAUACUUAUAGCUCUAGUGCAUCCGCGGCAUGGCAAUCCCUACUCACUCACAUUGAUAUCUAUUGAUGGGCAUCUCCAUAGCCCGUUGAUACGCCUAAUUGAUGUGAGACUAUCUUCUCCCUUUUUGUCUUCUCCACAACCACCACUCUAUUCCACCUAUAGUGCUAUAUCCAUGGCUCACGCUCAUGUAUUGCGUGAAAAUUGAAAAAGUUUUAAGAAUGUCAAAAGUAUGAAACAAUUGCUUGGCUUUUCAUCGGGGUUGUGCAUGAUUUCAAUAUUUUGUGUGGUGAAGAUAGAGCAUAGCCAGACUAUAUGAUUUUUUAGGGAUAACUUUCUUUAGCCAUGUUAUUUUGAGAAGACAUAAUUGCUUUGUUAGUAUGCUUGAAGUAUUAUUAUUUUUAUGUCAAUAUGAUUUUUUGUGUUGAAUCUUUUGCAUCUGAAUAUUCAUACCACAAUUAAGAAUAAUUACAUUAAAAUUAUGCCAAGUAGCACUCCGCAUCAAAAAUUCUAUUUUUAUCAUUUACCUACUCGAGGACGAGCAGGAAUUAAGCUUGGGGAUGCUUGAUACGUCUCCAACGUAUCUAUAAUUUUUGAUUGCUCCAUGCUAUAUUAUCUAUUGUUUUGGACAUUAUUGGGCUUUAUUAUCCACUUUUAUAUUAUUUUUGGGACUAACCUAUUAACCGGAGGCCCAGCCCAGAAUUGCUUUUUUUGCCUGUUUUAGGGUUUUGAAGAAAAGGAAUAUCAAGCAGAGUCCAAACGGAAUGAAACCUUCGGGAACAUGAUUUUCUCAAAAAAUAAGACCAGAGAGACUUGGACCCUACGUCAAGAAAAGCAACAGGAGGCCACGAGGUAGGGUGCGCGCCUGCCUAUCCUAGGCACGCCCUCCACCCUCGUGGGCCCCCUGUUGAUCCACCAACGUACUCCUUCCUCCUAUAUAUAUCCACGUACCCCCAAACGAUCAGAUACGGAGCCAAAACCCUAAUUCCACCACCGCAACUUUCUGUAUCCAGGAGAUCCCAUCUUGGGGCCUGUUCCGAAGCUCCGCCGGAGGGGGCAUCGAUCACGGAGGGCUUCUACAUCAACAACAUAGCCCAUCCGAUGAAGUGUGAGUAGUUUACCUCAGACCUACGGGUCCAUAGUUAGUAGCUAGAUGGCUUCUUCUCUCUUUUUGGAUCUCAAUACAACAUUCUCCCCCCUCUCUUGUGGAGAACUAUUCGAUGUAAUCUUCGUUUUGCGGUGUGUUUGUUGAGAUCGACAAAUUGUGGGUUUAUGAUCAAGUCUAUCUAUGAAUAAUAUUUGAAUCUUCUCUGAAUUAUUUUAUGUAUGAUUGGUUAUCUUUCCAAGUCUCUUCGAAUUAUCAGUUUGGUUUGGCCUACUAGAUUGAUCUUUCUUGCACUGGGAGAAGUGCUUAGCUUUGGGGUUCAAUCUUGCGGUGUCCUUUCCCGGUGACAGUAAGGGCAGCAAGGCCCAUAUUGUAUUGUUGCCAUCGAGGAUAACAAGAUGGGUUUUUCUUCAUAUUGCAUGAGUCUAUCCCUCUACAUCAUGCCAUCUUGCUUAAGGCGUUACUCUAUUUUUAACUUAAUACUCUAGAUGCAUGCUGGAUAGCGGUCGAUGAGUGGAGUAAUAGUAGUAGAUGCAAGCAGGAGUCGGUCUACGAGGAUUUAUAUGUUUUGUGCAGGUACGAGGGACUCGCGCGUAGCCUCCUACUGGAUUGAUACCUUGGUUCUCAAAAACCGAGGGAAAUACUUAUGCUACUUUGCUGCAUCAUCCCUUCCUCUUCAGGGAAAACCAACGCAGUGCUCAAGAGGUAGCAUGUAUCAGCAAGUACAUGACUUGUUUGUGGGAAUAUGCAUUUUAUUAUGAACGUCCUAAAAGGUCCCUAGUCGAAAGGGCUGUGUGGACGCGCAGCCGACUAGACUAGCAUAUGACACGGUCGAUGUCUUGGUCUCACUAGCCAUGGAGAAUUGGAUGCUAACCAGAUAAUAUGGACUCGGAAGGAUCUGGCCGGAUUCAACGUAGUCGGAUCCGAGUUGAGAUAAGGUCCGAGUCGGACAGACCCAACUAUGAGACGCAGCGAUAUGUCAUCUGUGAGUCUCUAGUACAACAUACGUUCUAUGUCCUCAGACCUAAGUUGGUGCAUGUACUCGGGAUGGUGACAGACUUGCUUUAGGACAACCAAACGCUACUCCGUGAAUAGGUAGUUACAAAGGUAGGUUUCGGGCUUGUCCAGACCCAUGCUGCGAGACAUGGUCGAGCAAGAUGGGAUUUGCCCCUCCGACCUGGAGAGAUAUACUCUAGGCCCCUCGUGUGAUCCGACCAAGAUAAGCAUGGCCAUGCGAUUAGGAUUAUGAGAUAAUCCGGUUUGUGGUUGUGAUUUCCGGAUAAUUAAGCUACAAUGAACCUCUGCUAAUUUGCCACGUCACCUCAGUUACUAUUGAUAAUCUCGCAUUAGUUCAAAACGAUUCAAAUUCAAAUUUGAAAUAAAGGCUGACAACAAAGGCUUUCAACUUUUAAAACUAAAAUGUUCGGGUUGUGCCAAAUAUUGCAUAAAUAAUUUUGGUGGAGAAUCCACAUUUUUAUAAAGUAUUUAAUUGCACUGAAAU